rnacentral:lncRNA from 1 species
GAUUCUUCUGUGUGUGCGAACACAAAUGCAACUAAGAAAGAUAAGAUGGGUAAGAACGGAAGCGGUAGUGCUAACCCAAAACUAAUUAGAAUUUGUGUAUUUAAUUAUUGGUUACCUCAAAACUAAUUAGAAUUUACAAUAAUUUAUAUAUUCUUGUGUUUGUAUGCUGUUACAGGAUUCCUAUCGCAACAUAAUAAAUUCAGACUUGAGAGUUGAUCAAGUUUGAAGAAUUUUUCGUUUGCUUAAUACUAUGUUUUCAUUUUACCUAAUAAUGUUGUUUGCCUUUCAAAAUUUUGCUAGCCAUCUAUUUAUUAUAAGUUUUAUACUUAUACAUCUUAAUAAAAUCGAGCAUUUUAGUUAUAAUACUUCUUCUACAGCAUUCUUCAUCGUUAACCUCCUGCACUUUUGUGAUGGUUUCAAUCCUCUUUUUUUUGCCUGAAAAAUAAGUUCAAAUUGAAAAGAUAUCCUAUAUUAAUGACUCAUAUAUCCUAAACCUCUGCACAUAAGUCGUGGCCAAUGAAAAGUAAAAAAAAAUCCAAUCUAUAACCAAAUCAAUAUCAACAUUAAACACACCUAAUAUCUUCUUAUCUUAUAAAUAACUAAAUUAAUAUUCUCAACCCGCGUCAAGUAUAUAAAUAUUUAAAGAUAGAGAAUGAAAACAAAAAAUGGUGCUACAUGAAUCUAACGGUUGGAAUUCAUCGAAUCCCAGAAUCGACGGUGAAGCUAAGUUUCUACAGAAAUGAAGUCGUCGCUAGAAUCAUCCAUCGUUAGUUCGUCAACGACUUCAAUCAUACUCGGUCGCCGAUCUGGAUCUUCUCCGAUACAUCUCACACCGAUGCGCAAAACAUUCUCGAUCUCAUCCCACACCAUUUUAUCAUCGCGAGCGGCAGUUACAACCGUCGGAUGAAGCAGAUCCACGUCGGAGCCAAUCCACUCCGCCAAACUCGCGCCACCGGCUGGAUCCAAUCCACCGUAUUGCGGCGGGGACUUCCCCGUCAAGAUCUCUAACACCACGGCUCCGAAAGUAUACACGUCGGAUUUCGCAGAGACGGUUGCGUCGCUAGAGCUAUACGCGGCUAGGGAUUGGGAUUGAGCGUCGGGGCUGAUCAAUCUCUGGAGGCCGAACUCGGAGAUCAGCGGCUCGCCGUCGUCGGCGAGGAAUAUGUUGCUCGAUUUUAGGUUUCCGUGAGGUAAGGUUAGAAACGCUAACUCUCCGUGGAGGUAACACAUCCCUCUUGCGAUUCCUUGAAUGAUUUUAAACCGUGAAGGCCAGUUUAGUUGCGAAUCCUCCUCGCUUUUUAAUCGGUGAAGCAGGCUUAGAUUAGGGAUGAAUUCGAACACUAGUAGCUUCUCGUCUCGCCUGGAAUGGUAAGCCAGAGGCGUUAGGAUGUUCUUGUGACGCAAGCUUCCUAGGUUUUUGAUCUCUUGUGCGAAUACGCCUAUACUCACUUCAUUCAUCACCGUCACUCGCUUCACCACCACCUUGACUCCGCUCGCGAUCACCGCCUUGUACGCAGAUCCCACGCUUCCCCCGCUGUUAGGCUGGCCGUUGGGAGCUCCGAGAACGUGAGCUGAUGAUUUUAGUAACUCCUCUAAAUCGAAAACACCCUUUUCUUUGUUCACCAUCACCAAAUCUGUCCUCAGCUCGCGGAAACUACUGGGCUUACCAUGCCUCGAGGCUCCACUUCUUGAUCCGUCAACAGUUACCUAUCAAACCACAUCAAGAAUUAUGUUAUGUUUAAUUUCAGAUCUCUCUUAGAUGUGUUUAAGCUGCGAAGUUGCCAGGUGGUAUACAUGGAAAUAUACAUGAAGUCGCGAUUAAGCUGCCUAAACAUAGAUCCAACGCGCUAUUAAAGAAAUGCUCUAAGCAUAGACCAACGGGAUAUUAAAUAAAUGCACUUCUAGCAUUGCGACUAACCUGAAUUUGUUGAUCCUCUGUGUUGUCUUGUUCAGAGGUACGAAGCAUACUCGUCCUCCUCUUCUUUAGGAUUAAUAAGAAGAAUAUGAUAAGGAUAAAAAGGAACCCUAGUGUACCGAAUGCUAUAUAGUAUUUGCUCUUAUACUCAGCUUUCUUGUCUCCGUCUACUGAGAUCGAUGCAGUCGAAAUUCCCGGCUGCGUGCAGGUUGUUCCUAGCUCUGCACCACAAAGAUCAGAAUUUCCCGCGAAACUGCUUGCCUUGAAUCUUGACAAACCGGGUGGUAUUUCUCCGGUUAGCCGAUUGUUUGAGAGAUUGACAUCAGCUAAACCCGGUUGGGUGAAGUUCGGUAUAAUCCCAGUGAAUUGAUUGUUUUCGAGGUGUAGCUCCAUCAGUUUUGGUAAUGUAGUGGCAAGCGAGAGAGGGAUGUGGCCAGAGAACUCGUUGUUCGACAGCCACAAUUUCUUCAGGGAAAGCAUUCUUGCGAAAUAAUCAGGAGGGAUAUCACCAGAGAACCGAUUGUUUGAUAAGUAAAUCGAUUUCAGAGCGGUUAAUCGGUUAAACUCUGGUAUUUUACCGGAGAAGGAGUUGUUCAUUAUGCUUACGGUGCGUAAACCGGGUAGGUCGACUAAGGGUGCAACGUCAAUGUUUCCUGUGAGACCCAAUUGUUCGAUUUGGAGGCCAAAAACAGAGUUUUUGUUGCAUAGCAAUCCGAACCAUCGUUGUGUUCUUCCGCAAGGCUCUGAAUCUAAUGUCCAAGAAUCGAGAGACUUGGUGUUUGUUAGUGAUUCCUUGAAUUUCAGCAAUGCUUCUGCUUCGGUUAACGAGUUAGCAGAAAGUGCUGUGAGAGAUAGCAUGAGCGGCCAAAUUAGCCAGGCCACGGCCAUUUACUUAACAGGUGCUAGGCUGCCGGAAUUCUCGAAACGUUUUUAAUUUUUUCCGUAAUAACCAAAUUAGUUCUCUCGUUUUUUCUUUGCUGAUGUGAUUUACUAAUUUUCUCUGUUCCUGUCUUGUUUCUCGCUCUGUCUUUUCUUUUUCUUUGUCAUUUGUAAUCCAUUGAAUGAGAGGGGAUAAAGAGCUUAUGGCGCGAAUGGUAGUUGAAAGAGUCAAAAUUGAGAAAGGCAAAAGCAAUUACGAAAUACUAGAUGCCUAUGCAUUUUAGUGGGCCCACAUUGCUACCAUUUGAUGUUAGAGUCCAAGCCCAAACUUGAUCUAAGAGCAUCUUUAUCUUUAUCGGGAGAUCUUAUGAGGAGUUUUUAGUUUAAUUAGGAAUUAAAGAAAAAGAAAAAAGCCAAUUACCAGAAGCAACGUAUCUUAAUUAGGUGACAUAGGAUACGCCUCUUGAUGCCACCCGUCGCUUUUUUGGGGUAGACAAUUUCUUCUCCCUCUUCCUUGCCCUGUCGCUGACGAAGAACCCCGCUUUCUCUGAGGUUUCCUAAUCAGAGAUGGAGAUUGAUUCCGUCGCAGCUGGAGGAGCUCUUAAACCAGAUGGAGAUCGAUUCCGUCGAGACGAGGAACCCCGCUUUUUGAUAGGUGUGGGCGAUUACAGAUGCAAAGAGGCAAGGUUUAAUCCCCUCCGCCCUUAAACCAGGAGGAGCUCUCCGGUUUAAUCCCCGGCGCCGUCCGCUUCACCUUCCCAUCACUUGCUCUGUCUCUCCAUCAAACCAUCACUUUCUCUGUCUCUCCAUGAAAUGAUGAACCAUCCUCCGGUAGUUUUAGUGUUUUUGAGCUUAAAGUUUGUCACUUUGAAUUGAAAAAGAUAAGAUAAUGAUUGAUUGUGAGAUUGUUAAACUUAAAGGACAAAGCUUUCCUUAUUACAGAACUCUGUGAUAGUUCAUGGGUUGUCGGAAAGUUGAAACCUUUUAUGUGUUUCCUUAUUACAGAACUCUGUUAGAUUGCUUGUACUUUUGUCACUCCCCUGUUUUGGAUUGAAAGCUGAAACCUUUUUUAUGUUUUUUCCUUUAUUACAGAACUCUGUGAGAUAAGCACAUACGUUUGCGUCAUUACCUCUCUAAGAUAAGCCACAGGUUCCGCAUCUUUCUGCUUCUACAGUUUCUGGUCGUCACUGUUAGCCAGUUUACCACGUUUUUCCAGACCACUGCGUAUAGCGGACGUAUCACGUAUAUAAACGGUGGUGAUUUCACGGUGAGUCGAGCUUUAGUUUCUUCUUUGGUUUCUUGUUAUACGAUGAUGUUAAAAGUUUGGGAUGGUUAUGUUUUCAGGUCUCUGCGGUGGUCCAAGUUGUUGGGAUUAUUUUGUCUGCACGCAGCAACGAAAAUAUCUCAUAGAGCUCAAGCGAUAGCAUCAGUUGCAAGUAAAUGGCAUGCAAUAAUGUUGUGCUAAUCUACGGAUACAACUCAGAUAAGGACUUGUCCUAGUGGAGUUCACUUGGAAGCCACCACGAAUCCACCCAUCUCCUUUCAGAAUUAGGUACGCCAUUGCUGAAUGACACCAUCUUUGAUCACUUAUUUGGAAAAAUAUUUUUGUCUGCUUUGGUGUUUUUGCAUAUGUAUACAAAUGUUUUUAUCACAUUCUUUCUUAUCAUCUGAACUUCUUGUUUUUUUUGUGCUGUGUUUCUACUUGUAUUUUAAAUCUAUGUUUAAAAUGUUAUGUUUAAAAAUUUAAUAAAUAAAUUUGAAGUUUAAUAAAAUAAUGUUUGAUAUUUUUUUUAAGAAACCUUAAAUAAGAGAUUGCAAUGGACCACACAAAUAUAUCCGUCUCUUAACUAGGUCUCUUAAACCCAUUUUUCCAACUAAAAAUUAUUAAAAAAAGAUUAAGAACCCCUAAAUGAGUAUGUGGGAUAAUGAUGCUCUAAGAAACUAGAAUCAUAUUGAAGUUUGGUUUUACAAUUUUUUAAAAAAAAAUUUUUAGAGAACUUGCAUUUGUGCAAGUAAUACUUCAUCCGUUUCUAAUCGUAAUUAGUUUUGUUUAAAACCACAAAUAUUUAAAAAAUUGUUAUUUAAAAGAAUAUAUCAUUUAACCAAUUAAUUCAACCAAUUAUUAAAAAUCUAUAUUAUUAAAAGAGAAGUACUCAUUUGAAAACGUUCUUAUUUCAUUAAUUAAACUCUUUUUUUUUUGCUUUGUCUUUUUCAGUUGCAUUUAUGAAAUAUCCUAAAACGAAUAAAACUGCCUAAUUUAUUACUUGUCUUUUCAGUUACAUUAAUGAAAUAUGCUUAAAUGAAUUUAAACUUCAUAUUUUAUUGUUUGUCUUUUUCAGUUAUCUUAAUGAAAUAUCCUUAAAUAAAUUUGGACAUAAUGUCAUUUAAUCAACCAAAAAAACUCAUGAGUUAUCCUUACGUGCAUAAUUUUAAUAAUGGAGAUUUUUAAAAACGUGCAUCAUUAAAAUGUUACCUAAAACAUGCAGCACUAAUAUAUAACAUGCAUCAAUAAAACUAGAAUUUGACUCACACAAUUGUACGGAUAUUAUUUUCAGUUGAUUAAAUUUAAAAAUAAUUAUUUAUUCAAAAAAUAUUUAAGAAUGACUAUGUUUUUAAAAAUUAUAUGGUAUUAUUUGCUCAUAACUCAUUUGUCAUUUGUUAAAUUGUUAGAAAGAAAAUUUUAGCAUAAUAUAACUCAGUUGUCAUUUGUUAAAUUUAUGGUUUUUAUUUAUAUUUUUUAUUAUUUAAUUAUAAUAUUUUCAUUUUAUAUUUGAAAGAUAAAUGAAUUUUCUUUCAAACAAUAUUUUUGUAAAUGUACUUUUUAAAAAAUAAUCAAUUAAAAUUGUUACUAUCAUUGAAUAUCAUUAUUUUUGACAUAAUUUGAGUUUUUGUUUACAUCAAAACUUAUCAUAUUUUAGGAUAAUUUUAAUUUAAAAUGUAGUUUUCAUAUUUUUCAAACAAAUUCUAAAAAUAUUUUUUAAAUAUUUUGUUAUAAUUUUUUAAAAAAUAUUGAGUUGCAUUUCAAUUAAAAAGGUAAAGAUAUUAAAAAUAUUCUAAUUAAAAUAUGUAAAAUUUAAUAUAGUUUUAAGGAAAUUGUCAAAAUAAAAAAAAUUACACAUAAAAUAAUCAUGAUUUUUGUUAACUAGGCGGAUUAUUAUUUAUAUGAUAUCGCACACGAAAAAAAAAAUUCUGUUUUUAAAAUUAUCUAAUUAACUCUAUACUCAUUUUUCUUAUAUUUUUUAUAUGAUAUCACACAUUCGUAAAAAAAUAAGUAGUUUAAGAUGCAAAAAAAAAAAAUCUAAUUAAUGAAUAUAAUAUGAACGAAUAUUACAAAUACAUCAUUUAAUAAAAUAAAUAAUUAAAAACUGAAAAUUCAUAUCCGCGCUGGCGCGCGGAUCAGGAUCUAGUCUAACAUUAUUUCAUUGGUCACACAAUAUCCAAUAAAUGAAAAAGAUGCAUUGAAAUAUGUAAACUACUUAUAUUGUGAAACAAACUAUUUUCGCUAAAACUAAUUACAUUUAGAAACGAAAGAAUUAGUAGUUUUGUUAUACCUGCAUCUCAAAAUGCUAAAUAUUUAGUCCCCAGAUUGCAUUUUUUAAAACAAAAUUUAAAUAAUUAACUUGUUCAAUGAAUACUCGGGACCAGAUUGUGUUUCAAAAACAUGCUUUUCGUUUCUAACAUUCCGUAUGAAGCCUGUGAAGAAGUUCCAAUUUUUUGUUGUUCACAUUCAAAGUAUUUGUCGGUGUCAGAUUCGGUUUGCUUUAUCACUAGUUGUAAGUUUGUAACGGACAUUUUUGCAAAAAAAAAAAAAAAAAUUGAAACGGACUUUUUUGGAAAAAAAAAAAAAAAAAUUGAAACGGACUUUUUUGGAAAAAAAAAAAAAAAAAUUGAAACGGACUUUUUUGGAAAAAAAAAAAAAAAAAUUGAAACGGACUUUUUUGGAAAAAAAAAAAAAAAAAAAAAAUUGUAACGGACCUACUUCCAUUGGUUAAUGAUGGAAACGCAAAGCUUCUCUAUUUCGCCGUCACACAUUAAUGCAAAUGACUGUUUACAAUAUAUUUCAACGUAUAACCAUUUGCAACGUAUAUACUAUAUGAAUGAAACGUCAAAUGGACCAAUGGUAACAUUUACAAACAUUGCUUCUCAGACAUCCCAUAAAUUUGUAUAUUAUACAACUAGGUGAUUAUCCGCGCACAUGCACAAAAUGAAAUGUAUAAUCUAAUAAUUGUUGAAUACGAAUUUUAACCGUCCAAUCAUAAUUAUAUAAUUCGUAAGCCCUAUAUAUAUUAAUCUAAAUAUCUAUUAAAUAUGAUUUACUCAUAUGGUUUUAUGAUUAUUUGUAUUUUAUUAUAACAAAAAUUUUAAACUAAAAAUCAUAAAAUUUUCAGUGUGAGACUUUUAACAAUUUUUCGUUAUUUAUAGUCAUUUUAAAAAUUAAAAAAAUAUAACAUAUAUGAAAAAAAUCUAAUUAUUAAUAUGGUUAAUACGAUUGUUUAAUUUAUUUUUAAUAAUAUAACAUUAAAAAUAACGAAUAUAUGUAAAUUAUUGUCAAAUCUUUAUACUUAAAAUUAUUAAUUGUCAAAUAUAUAUUUUGUUCACUUUUGGUAAUUCUGUAAUUUUUAUUUAAUGAAAGAAGGAAAAACAAUAAUUGUAGAUUGUUAAUUAAUUUCAUGGUUAGUUUAAAAAGAAGUAUAUAAGAGCAUCAGCAUUAAUGUACCCCAUAAAAGGGGUUCACAAAGUAUUUUUUUAUUAUUUUUUUUUCUGUUUGAUUUUUGUUUUAAAAAAAAAAAAUUAUUAAUCGGACCAAUCGCGGGCCGCCACGUGUCGUGGGGCCCGCGCUACAGUGAUGAUCCGUGUUCAGUGCAGUGAACUCCCAAGAGGCAGGUUCAUUGCUUUUAUUUAUUUUAAUUUUUUUUUUUUUCGAAAACUGUGUGAACUCUCCGUGGAGUUCACUGAUGCUGAUGCUCUAAUAUAUGUUUAGUAGAUCAACAUAUUUUUCUAAAGACUUUAAAAAACAUUCUAAUGAUGAUUCGUGUCAUAAUUAAAAUGUUGUAAUGUUUCUCUUUUAAUAUACAUGGGAUCUCCAGUCAUUUUAUUUAUUUUUAGAUUACCUCAGCUACAGGAGUGUAACAUAGAUAGGGAUCGUCAUGUAGAAUAUUGCGAUGGUCUUGUGUAGCAAAAGAAGCACUGCUUGAAUGCAUAUUGCAUUGCAUCACUAAAAACAUAUAUUAUGUUUAUGUAUAUAUUAUUAUAUAUAGACUCGAGAUGGUGUUACAAAAAAAAAAAAAAAGUGUUACAAAAAAAAGACUCGAGAUGUUGUUCAACCGUAUUGUAUUCUCAUUGAUAAAAUCUUGCAAGUUGUGCUGAAUAUGAUUUUAUUCCUCUUGGCACUAUCGUCUACGACAUUUGUUAUAUAAUAUUUUGCGUCUCCAUACAUGUUAAAUUCUUUAGUCUCUUGUUGGUGCUGGAACUUAUUUUAACGAAAAUUCAACGCACACCUUCAUUAAACAAAACGACUAAAAUUUAACUUUGUCGUUGGAAAACCUUAAUUGAGCAAAAAAAAAAAUCAUAUUAGGAUUUAGGACUAAGCAAAAUUAACUCUUGAGUAAGUUGAAUUUUCUAAACACAUACAUCAAACAAAAAGGUCUACAUGUAAAUUAUUCAGAUACCUCUUUACACUCUCGAUAUACUAGUGAAAUUGUGACUAAGACAGGGUUGUGCUAUGGUGAAAAAGCGUUCACUUUUAGCAACAAUUAGUGGUUAGGAACUAUAAAUUGAUUCUUUGUGCUCUUAACUCGAUGUACGUUGGAAAGAUUGUUUUACAAUAGGUCAUAUAAGGCAUUAUUGUUAGCAAGAGCUGAUCCUGAAUCUAAGACCAACAUUAUCGGCACUUCUUAGCGAAGUUGCUUAGUAAUAAUCACCCAAAAUUUAAAUCAAAAUUAUGGAAAAACAAAAGAGUCGUCGGUUAAUUAAGAACUUUUCGAACAUGUCCUUAAAGGGCACGUGGCGUAAGGCAACAAGUUUACCGAAUGGGGUAGGGGAAAGUAAAGUUUACGGUAUCGACUUCAUUCUCAUCGUCUCCCUAUUCUCUCUCUUUCGUCGGCGAUUUCAAACAGACGGUCAUCUGGUCGUUCAAUCCACACCGAUCUCUCCUGUCAUCGAACCCUUCUCCGCCGAAUCCAAUCGAAACCGGGUAUGUGUUCCUCCUCUGUCCUCCGUUUUGAGAUUUAUAGGAAUUGUUUGUCGAAAAUAAGUCCUCCGUAUCUGGGUUUGAUUGGAAAUUUAUAUUGUGACGAUUUGAUUGCAUGCUUUUUGUUUGUGAUUGUUCACCGAUCUGUUUCUGAUUCUAUGUUUGGUGUUUGAGUAAAUCUAAUUGAAAAUUAGGGUAGAUUUAGGGAUUUCAGAGAAGAAGCCAUUUUUAGAUUCCUUUUCUUGAUGAGUACAAUUGAUCUUCGAUGGAUUUCAGUGUUUGAGUAAAUGUAAGGGUCUUCUCUUUGCACCGUGUCUCUGUUUUUUGAUUUUUCCUCUGCAAAUCCAUUCAAAGGUUUAUUCUUUCCUUAGCUUUUUCAUUUUUUGAGGAAUGUUGUAUCAAGAAUUGUGUAUUUUCUGUAAAUUAAUUACAAAGGGUGUAUAUUUAUGUAGUUUUACGGGUUUCAUUAGCUUGCUUUCUCGUUGAUUUCAAUUGCCACCAUAUUGGUUUAUGAUUUUGGUGUUUUGGUUAUCUUUGUAGAUUUGAGAAUUCAUGUUUAGAAGUUCAGUGUUUAUAGGGUUUAUCAUUUUUGGUAACUCAGUAUUCGUUUUGUAACUUGGUGAUUUAUGGUGUGUUCUCAUAGCAUUAUUUUUCAAAUGAUUGGUAGAAUAUAAGAUUUGUUAGAAAACGACGUAUGCGUGGUGAUUCACUCAUUCGAGUUUUAUGGUGUGUUCUCAUACCAUAUGUAACCUUUUUGCGAAAAAGUAUAUUGUUUAGUACGUUUAUUCUUGUAGUUGGUUUCGAACGAAAUCGUUUUUAACUUAAUUGAAGGUUAGUGACCUAAAUUGACAAGUCUGAAUGAAGAGAUGUUUAUGGUUAGUUCUUUGUCAUUGGAGUCUAGUUUGUUUGAAACCAAAUCCUCUUAUAAUUUAAUUACUUGAUAGCUUUUUGGUUGUGCAAUGUGUAAUAACUCUUGAUUAGACGUUGGUAGUUUAUGGUUAUGUCUUUAUUAUUCUUACUUAUUGCUUCUUCAAGUUUCACCUAUUAAACCCCAACCAUCCCUCAUUGUAUCAUAUAUCUCCGGUUUAUCUACGGUUUCUCUUCUAUACUCCUCUCUCUGUUCUAAUCCAUACGGAUUCAAAGAAUCCAUAUAGUCAGUCUCGUAGUUAUGUAGGCCUUCUUAACAGUCAGAACUUUCCUUAUGAAAGUUAUCCUUCUACUUUAAACUUUGGAGCCUCAGAUUUCCCUCCUUUCAGUUCACAACAAACCGACGCUCCAGAUGUACGUGAAGACACACCAGUGGCUUGUAGGGAGAGAAGGAAAUAGACUCCAGCUGAUGACGAGGUCCUAAUAAGUGUGUGGCUAAACACAUCUAAGGAUGCUGUUGUUGAAAUGAACAAAAAUCAGGGACCUUCUGGAAACGAGUAGGUGAAUAUUAUGCAGCAAGUCCUCAUGCUGGAGAGAGUGGUGAACCAAGAGAGCAUCUCCAUUGUAAGCAGAGGUGGCACAAAAUCAAUGACUUCACCAACAAAUUCUGUGGUGCAUAUGCGGCAGCAAAGAGACAUAUCAGUUUUGGUCAGAAUGAUAAUGAUGUUCUCAAGGUGGCUCAUGACAUCUUCUACUCUGAUCACAACACGAAAUUUAAUCUUGAACAUGCGUGGUGUGUAUUGAGGUAUGAGCAGAAAUGACUUAGCCUUAACACUCCUAAAAUUAGUGGGAGUUCAAAGCGAAAAGCUGGAGAGACAUGUUCACAAACUUCAAGCACCACUAUUGGUGAUCAUGAGAUCCGUCCUGAAGGUAUCAAGGCUGCUAAAGCUAAAAGGAAUAAUACUCAAGGGAAGUCUCUUGCUGAGUAUACGAGCAUUUGGGAAAUGAAGAAGGAGGAUCUCAUGAUGAAGGAGAAACUGUCAAAGCUUGCCAUACUAAACACACUCCUAGCCAAGAAAGAACCACUAAGUGAGGCUGAAGAAGUUGUCAAGAAUAAGCUACUCGCCCAUUAUUUCUGAGAAUUAGAGCUUGUCUAUGUUUCUAUGUUUCUAUGUUAGAACUAUGUCUUAAAAUUUAUGUGUUUAGUACUUUGUAUUAUCUUAAACGUGAUGAAUUCCCUUCCUGUUUGCUUUUAAAAUGUCUAUCUUUAUUAAUGAAUAACUUAUAAUGUCUAUCUAUGUAUUUCUGCUUUCUACUUUAUAAAUGAAUGUUGCUAUUUUAUUAAAAAAUUGUCUAUCUUCCUAGAUCAUUAGAUGUCUAUCUAAUAUGAUUAGUUUUUUUCAGGUUUAGUUAAAAUGGGCCGUCGAUAUAGCUACAGCCAGCCUUAAGAUCCAGAGGAGUAUGGUGGGGGAGAUAGCUGACAGUGGAUACAACUCAACGAAAGAGCUUAUUCGUCGGGACCAAGCUGAGUUAAGCAUCAAUUGUGGUGCACCGGCUCAGUACCCUCCGCAACCCGAGGUUGAGUUUGGAUUCCCGCAGACAUGCUACUGUGGUGGUGAACCUCUACUAGCAACGUCGUACACAAAAAACGAUCCAGGAAGAAGAUACUACACAUGUGAGCAGGUUGAUGAUGGAGAAUUCCAUGUUUGGAAGUUGUGGGAUGUCGCGGUGAUGGAGGAGAUGAAGGCCAGAGAUAGACACAUACUUCAACUGGCUGAAAAGGUAGAUAAUCUCACCUUUUUGAGUGACUUUGAGACUGAGCAGAAGUUGGUUAGGUUAGAGAAGCUUGUGUGUGACUUAGCAAAGAAGAGAUCAAGUUUUAUCAAUGGGUUUGAAGUAUUUGUUGGUGUAAUGAUCAUUGUUUUAGUUUUCAUAGGUUUGGUGAUCAUCUUUAUGUGAAUCCAGAUGUUGUAGUAAUCUGUAAUCUGAUUUGUACUGAUCAGUUUGUUGGUGUAAUGAUCAUCGUUAUUGAUCAGUUUUUCGAACAAGCCUUUUGUAAUGAAUCAGAUUUGUACUGAUUUUUGUUGAACUCUUUGUAAUGAUUCAUAAUGACUUAUGAAUUUAUUUAUAAAUGAACUCUUAUCGUAUUAUGGCUAUAAUUAUAAAUGAUCUCUUUGUAAACUACACAUUCAUGAAAACAUGAUUCACGAUCAUGAUCUACAAAAAUGUAUGACAAUUGGAUUGCACUUGCCUCCAAAAAUGUGUCAGAAGAUGUCUUCACUGUGUGCUCGUGAGCAUGUGUGCUCGUGACCAAUGAAAACAAAAUAUAGUGUCACAAGAUGUCCUCACGAGUAAUGAAAACAAAAUAUAGUGUUACAAGCUAGUAUCAUAAGAUACACUUCUUUUAGCCUAUAAGUAUAAGACAUCGUAAAACAUUUUUAGACAUCUUCUCCUCACUUUCAUCAUAUCUUCUCUUUUUAAAAAAAAAUUCUAAUGGCAUCUUCUUCCCAUUAUCAUUACCUCAAAGAUGAUGAUGAUGAAUUUGAUUCCAUAUUUGAUGAUUAUUUUGAAAACCCUGAUCUUAUUCCAGAACCAAAAGAGCGAAAAAAAUGUAUUUUUAUCGAGAGAAACCGGGAAGAAGGCCACCAGAAGCUCUGGAAUGAUUACUUUAGCGAUACUCCAACAUACACUCCCAAGUUAUUCCGGCGACGGUUUCGAAUGAACAAAUCAUUGUUCCUGCGUAUUGUGCAUCGUCUCUCCACAGAAGUACCGUAUUUUCAACCAACAGAAGAUGCAACCGGACGGUCUAGUCUAUCACCCCUACAAAAAAUGUACUGCAUCAAUUCGACAAUUGGCAUAUGGUGGUGGAGCUGAUACAGUUGACGAAUAUGUCCGACUUUCUGAAACAACAGCUCGAAAAUGUUUGCACAAUUUUACCGCCGGAAUAACAACUUGUUUGGCGAUGAAUACCGAAGACGUCCCACACCGGAGGAUCUGGAAAGACUACUCCAUAUCGGAGAAGAACGUGGAUUUCCAGGGAUGAUUGGAAGCAUCGACUGUAUGCAUUGGGAGUGGAAGAAUUGCCCGACCGCUUGGAAAGGAAUGUAUUCACGAGGAACUGGAAAACCAACAAUUGUGUUGGAGGCGGUAGCUUCAUAUGACCUCUGGAUAUGGCACGCGUUUUUUGGAGCUCCAGGUACUAUGAACGAUCUUAAUAUUGUUGAUCGAUCACCUGUUUUUGAUGACAUUAUUAACGAAAAUGCGUCAAGUAAACUUCUAUGUCAACGGAACGGAGUGCCAUUUGGGUUAUUAUCUCACGGAUGGUAUUUAUCCGAAAUGGACCCAAGAAGCUAUUCGAAAAGAUGUUGAACGUGCCUUUGGAAUUCUUCAAGCUAGAUUUGCCGUUGUCAAAAAUCCAUCUAAGUUAUGGGAUAAAGACAAAAUAACAAAUAUUAUGAGAGCAUGUAUCAUACUCCAUAAUAUGAUUGUCGAAGAUGAACGAUCAUCAUUCACUCAGUAUGACGUUUUUGAAUUUCAACAAGGAGAAGAUGUGGAUGAUACAUUUUCCGUCGAUAUGCCUACAAAUCUCGGCAGUACAAUUGAUCGUCGAGCGAGCGUUCGGAAUAGACAAGCCCAUCAACAAUUAAAAAAUAAUUUGAUUGAAAAUAUAUAAGCUAAAUUUGGACGUCUUCCAAAUAACAUAUAAUUUGUAAGUUUCUAUGAAUUGAAUAAAAUAUGUGUUUGCUUAAUUUUUUUUUUGUAUUUUUUUUGUUGCAACUUUGUAAUCUUAUUAUGUUUUCAAUUUUAAUGUUAUAUGUUUUAUUUAAAACUUAUCUUUUAUAUAUCAUUACUCAUUAAAAUAAAAAAUUAAUUUACUAAGAGACAACAAAAAUCCUACUAAUAAUCUACACUUUUGGGAUUGUCUCUUAGGCUUUGUCUCUUAACAUAAAAACAUAAUAAAAUAAGCUCAGGAGUUACUCUUCCUUGAGAUGGAGUAAAUUUAUUUGUGUGUUUUACUCUCAUAACAGUAACUAGAGGAAAUAGGUGGAAAUGUUUUUCUACCUGAUUGGAAAAUUUUCAGAGUAAACGAGAGUAACAAAUUUUUCACUCUUAUUAUUUACUCUGGAAGUGACAUACAGUCGCAACCAAAAUCUAAAGAUAGUCCCAGUUAAAAAAAAACAUUUAUUCUGGAAUAGUUGAAGCUUAAAAAAAAAUUAAAAUUAAAAGGGGGAAAACGCAAAUCAAGCACCGAUCAUGGGUGUACCUUUAAGAUUUUGACACGUGGUUGCAUCCAGUCGCAGAGCAAAUCUUUCACGUGCCCUAAAACUCUGUCGGGGAUAAGAUUCGUCGAUAUACAGAAUCCAAGUUCGAAUGGUAAUAGCAAAUGGGCUCCACCAUUGCAUUUCUAAACAGCCAUCAGCCGACGCGGACUAUGGCUUGUGUAACACCCUUGGUUAUGCCCUUUAAUAACGAAAAUGCCACCAUCAAACGAAUUAUUUCUCGCACAAGGACCAAUAUCGUAAAUAGUGGUUACUUUCGGGACCCGACGGCCGACGAUUUGAUGAGGACAAUUGACAAUUCGUUAACGCCUUCCACUAACGUCGCCGUCAACCUUUUUUCUUGUUUUUUUUUCAAAUUUUCUUUUCUGUUUACAUUUCGCUGCAGCCGUAAGGAAAACGUGCCGGAAGUUGUAAACGUUGGUUUGGUUUUGAAUUAGACGAAUUUAUUUAUGAUUCAUUUAAUAAUUCGUACGUGACAAAACAAAUUCUUUUAUUAAACUUAUACUGAUCGCCCAUGAAUACCUAAGAAAUUAGAAUAUUUUAGCUAAUCUUUUUUUUUUUUUUUUUUUUUUAAAUUUUAAUUUCUCUAUGCAUAUUUAACAAAUUAAAUAUAUUUUUUGUUAAAUUAUUUUUUUUUUUUUUUUUUUUGGUAAAAUGUUAAAUUUUACACAAACUUUUAAUUUUUGACAGAAAUACAGAGACACAACAAAGAAAUUAGAAAAACCAAAAUCUACGGCAGCAAAAAAAAAACAAAAUGAACAAACACUACGACCACAACCAAUACAAUCACCUUAGAACGAGAGGCCAUAUAAAUCUCUAUACCACGACUAAAGAGUAGAAAACUCCAACCACAUCAGUCCAACCACAACGAAAACACGUCGCAGCUUUGCAGGGAAAGUACGAAGCUUCAACCACAAUAAGAUUCACCGUAGCCUCGCUGGAAAAGUACGAAUUGGUACAACCACAUCAGUCCCGCCACAACGACAAACGCCACAGCUUUGCUGGAAAAGUACGAAGCCACAACCACAUCAGACCCGCCACAAAAAAAAAAUCAUCGCAGCCUCGCCGGAAAAGUACGAUGCUACAACCACAUCAGUCCCGCCACAAUGAAGAAACACCACAGCUUUGCUGGAAAAGUACGGAGAUACACUACUACCACCAAUCGAAGAGAAGAGCCUUCCAACAUCUCAAACCAAAGAAGUCCAUUAGCUGUAUCGAGCUCUUUAUUUGGAAAGGAGAUAGCCAAAGCGACUGCCACACCCACCGGACCUGCAGAAAAAGAAGACAUAGACAAUACCAAACACCGGUAGAAUGUAGACCUCCACCACCGAAAAUUUGACAGUCUCUAACACGUCGCCACAGAAGCAAGAAAACUCCGAGAGACCAAAUUGAAGCCCUCCACAACCAGUAAAAGGAUCUUCUCCGAGCAAGAAGGAGUCGGGACAAACGAUUGAAAUGGAAACUCUAGGCAGUUCCUUAAAACAAGGCUCAAUGCCACAGCCACUGUUAGAAAAGCUAGAUACCAUAUACACCAGUAGCCUACCGCAAAGACACCACCGAGACUUCAACACUCAAGCCCUGAAAAACGCUUAACCACCACCGGAAUGAAGCCUGCGGAACCUACGGCUAGCUAGUCCUCUAAGCUCACCAGAAAAAGCCCACCACCACCAUAACUGAGGAUAAAAGCACUGACCUGAGGAAGCAAAUCUCCCAGCCGAGAAAGAGAGAGAGACCACUACUUGGAGACCGAGAGAAGGCGAAGCGGACAGACACUACAAGAAAACACAUACUUAGCGAGGAAAAUUAACGAGGAAAAACAAUCCUCGUAAAUUUGCGUCGAGUUUACGACGAAUUUACGUGAAAAACUAAAGUCAUCGUUAUUUCCUCGUAACGUAACGACAAAACUGUUUCGUCGUAAAGUGGAUGUAAUUUUACGAGUAUUUUACGAGGAAAAACUAUUUCCUCGUAAAUACGACGUAAACUUUGCGUGGUAUUUACGAGGUAAUAGUUUACGUGUAUUUAGCGAGGAAAUUUUUGAAUCCACCAACUUUAUAGGUGUUACACGUUUUUUUUGCCCACCUAAUUAAUUUUCGUCGUAAAUUCAUAGCAAAAUUACAACUACCAGAUUCGAAUUUUCCUAUAAAUAUGGAUGUUUGAACAUCAUUUUAAACACACCAACAACAAAAAACGUGAAAGAAAAAAAAUGGCUGGCUCCGGGACUAUUUACGAGUUGCGGAAGUGGAUGUAUAUGCAUAGAGAUGCUAACGGGAGAGUGACGAAAGAAUACCUUGCGGGUCUGGAGACAUUUAUGCAUCAAGCAGAUUCAAUACCGCUCGCCCAAGAAAGUGGUAAGAUGUUCUGUCCUUGUCGGAAAUGCAACAAUUCGAAACUGGCAAAUCGUGAAAAUGUUUGGAAGCAUUUAAUAAAUAGAGGUUUCACGGCAAAUUACUAUAUCUGGUUUCAACAUGGAGAAGGUUUUAAUUAUGAUCAGAAUGAAGCAAGUAGUAGUAAUAGCAAUUUUCAGGAAAAAGAACCGGUUGAUCAUCAUUUGCAUAAUGAACAUAGUUACCAUCAGGAGGAGAUGGUAGAUUAUGAUAGGGUUCAUGAUAUGGUAGCUGAUGCAUUCGUAGCUCAUGAUGAAGAUGAAGAACCUAAUAUAGAUGCAAAAAAGUUUUACGAAAUGUUAAACGCGGCGAAUCAACCACUUUACAGUGGUUGUAGAGAAGGUCUCUCUAAAUUGUCGUUAGCUGCUAGAAUGAUGAAUAUUAAAACUGAUCACAAUCUACCUGAAAGUUGCAUGAACGAAUGGGCGGACUUGUUUAAAGAGUACUUGCCGGAAGACAAUGUGUCUGCUGAUUCUUAUUAUGAGAUUCAGAAACUGGUUUAUAGUCUUGGGUUGCCUUCGGAGAUGAUAGAUGUUUGCAUCGACAACUGCAUGAUCUAUUGGGGAGAUGAUGAGAAGCUAGAAGAAUGUCGAUUCUGCAAGAAGCCACGAUUCAAGCCGCAAGGACGGGGACGUAAUAGGGUACCGUACCAAAGGAUGUGGUACCUACCAAUUACAGAUAGAUUGAAAAGAUUGUAUCAAUCAGAGCAGACUGCUGGAAAGAUGAGAUGGCAUGCCGAGCAUACUCAGACGGAUGGUGAGAUGACUCAUCCAUCAGAUGCAAGAGCCUGGAAACAUUUCAACAAAGUACAUCCAGAUUUCGCUAGCAAUAUCCGGAAUGUGUAUCUCGGAUUAUGCACAGAUGGAUUUAGUCCGUUCGGAAUGUCAGGGAGACAAUAUUCAUUGUGGCCAGUCUUUCUUACUCCAUACAACCUGCCACCGGAGAUGUGCAUGCAACGGGAGUUACUAUUCUUGACCAUAUUAAUACCUGGUCCGAACCAUCCAAAAAGGUCCCUGGAUGUUUUUCUACAACCACUGAUAAAAGAGUUGAAGGAUUUGUGGUCAACAGGGGUGAGGACGUAUGACUGUUCAACGAAGACGAAUUUUACGAUGCGAGCGAUGCUUUUGUGGACCAUAAGUGAUUUUCCUGCCUAUGGGAUGUUGUCUGGAUGGACUACACAUGGGAGAUUAGCUUGUCCAUAUUGUAAUGGAACGACAGAUGCGUUUCAACUGAAGAAUGGUAGGAAGACAAGUUGGUUUGAUUGUCACCGUCGAUUUCUUCCCAUUGGCCAUCCUUACCGAAGAAACAAGAAUUUGUUUAGGCACAAAAGGGUUGUGAGAGACACUCCUCCUCCAUAUCUAACUGGAGAACAAAUUGAAGCGCAAAUCGACUACUACGGAGCUAACGAAACAGUUCGUUGGGGUGGUAAUUGGCAUGUCCCUCGUAAUAUGCCAGAUUCUUACGGUGUUCAUCACAACUGGCACAAGAAGAGUAUAUUUUGGGAGUUGCCAUAUUGGAAGGAUCUUCUUCUGCGCCACAACCUCGAUGUGAUGCAUAUAGAGAAGAAUUUAUUUGAGAACAUCAUGAAUACAAUAUUGAAUGUCCCAGGGAAGACAAAAGACAACAUAAAAUCGAGGUUGGACUUGCCGGAUAUUUGCUCAAGAAGCGAGUUACAUAUUAAAAGCAAUGGACAAGUUCCCGUUCCGAUAUUCAGAUUAUCUUCAGAAAAAAAGUCGGUGUUGUUCAACUGGGUGGCAUUAGAAGUGAAGUUCCCCGAUGGGUAUGUUUUGAAUCUCUCUAGAUGUGUUGAAAAGGGUCAAAAGUUCUCCGGGAUGAAGAGUCAUGAUUGUCAUGUAUUUAUGCAACGACUACUGCCUUUUGCAUUUGCGGAGCUACUUCCAACAAACGUACAUGAAGCACUUGCAGGUACGUAGUGUAUUAUAUCACAAUAAUUUACAAAAUAAUAUAUGACUAACAAUGUGUUUAAUUUUUUUUUGAAUAUAAAAGGCAUUGGAGCAUUUUUCAGGGAUCUGAGCACACGCACUCUUAAAGAAGAAGUUGUGGAACAGCUUCAGGAGAACAUUCCCAUCUUAUUGUGCAACUUGGAGAAGAUAUUUCCUCCCGGAUUUUUUGACGUCAUGGAGCAUCUAGCUGUCCACCUCCCAUAUGAGGCAUUGCUUCGUGGACCUGUACAUUACGGAUGGAUGUAUCAGUAUGAGCGAGCCAUGAAAUAUUUGAAGGGAAAAGCAAAGAACCUCGCCAAAGUUGAAGGUUCUAUAAUUGCUGGAAGUUUGACGGAAGAAGUUUCUCACUUCACAUCGUCCUACUUUGCGUCAAAAGUACGUACACGGAGAAGAGCUCCAAGAAGAUAUGAUGAUGGUGGUGUUGCGCCAACAUAUGCAGUUGCUGGUGUUCCAGACAUCUUUAGCCAGAUUGGGCGACUCGGUGGGAAGUCUAAAGAGGUUUGGUGGUCGAGUGAACAAGACGCUCAUAGUGCACACACCUAUAUUCUACUCAAUUGCGAAGAUCCAUUGAUUCGUUAUUUUGAAAGGUAACAUAUAUUGACACUUCGAAACACAUAUAAGUAUAAUUAAUUGUAUAAUUGCGAGAGAUUCAUUCCUAUAAAAUGUGAUUUUACAGCCUAUUUGUUUCUCAAGUCGAAGAAACAUUUCCUGGUAUAUCCACAAGUGACGUAGACAAAAGGAAAGAUCAACACUUCAUUAAGUGGUUGCGGAAUCAGGUAUUAACUAAAAAAAUUUUCAUACAUUAUCUGUAUUUCAUUAACAUUCUCUUUAUUUUUGCAGGUUGAUUAUGACGACGACGAUGCAGAUUAUCCUAAGUGGUUACACGAAGUAAUUCAAUCUCCACUUGUAAAGGUCACCACAUCACAGAUGUAUUUCACACGAGGCUAUACUUUUCAUACAUAUAACUAUGGUAGACAACGGGCGACCAGUAACUAUGGAAUAUGUGUGAAAGGGGAAACAGAUUUCUACGGGAUCUUGACGGAGAUUAUUGAAGUCGAAUUUCCAGGGAUACUGAAGCUGAAAUGCGUCCUCUUCAAAUGUGAAUGGUUCGACCCCGUCGUCAACAGAGGUGUUCGGUCUAACAAAUUCGGUGUAGUUGAUGUCAACGGUGGACGAAGGUACAACAAAUUCGAGCCUUUCAUCUUAGCUUCACAAGUAGACCAAGUUAGCUUCCUUCCAUACCCUCGGAUGAGAGAUUCAGGUAUAAAUUGGUUAGCAGUAAUCAAAGUUACACCUCGAGGACGAAUCAUCAGUGGAGAAGAACCACCAUUGUAAGAAGAACAGAUAAAUGAAGUUGAGGAACCUGAACAAGAAAUUGAUGAUAUCCUUCUCAUUGAUCCGCAUAAUCACGAGUACGAAAAUCUUACCGAUGAUGCCGCAGACGAAGCUGUUGAAGACGAGUUUAAUGAAAAUGAUGAUGUUUCUAGUGAUGACGAGAAUGUCGAUGUAUCCGAUUGAUGUAUUUGUUUUAUGAAUAAGAUGAGGGAGUUUGUUUUAUGAAUAAGAUAAUGUGGGGUUUGUUUUAUGAAUAAGGUAAUGUGGGAGUUUGUUUUAUGAAUAAGCAAAUGUGGGAAUUGUGGUUUGGAAUGGAAAUAAAGAUGGGGUUUGAAAUAUAUGAAGUAGAAAAUAAGGAAUAUGGGGUUUGGGGUUUCGGGUUUCGGGUUUUAGAUUCUAGGGAUUUAAACAUAACACUCGUUAAUUCCACGUAAGCUUAAAUCGUCGUAAAGUCCUCGUAUUCCAACGAGUAAAUAACGACGAAGGACUCGUUAAUUCCACGUAGGACUAAAUCGUCGUAAAUACCACGUAUGAUGAAUUCGUCGUAAAAACCACGUAGGAUGAAAUCGUCGUAAAUAUAACGUAAUACAAUGAGGAAAUAACGACGAAACCUAAAAAUAAAUAUGGGGUUUUGAAUAUAUGAAGUAGAAAAUAAGGAAUAUGGGGUUUGGGGUUUCGGGUUUCGGGUUUUAGAUUCUAGGGAUUUAAACAUAACACUCGUUAAUUCCACGUAAGCUUAAAUCGUCGUAAAGUCCUCGUAUUCCAACGAGUAAAUAACGACGAAGGACUCGUUAAUUCCACGUAGGACUAAAUCGUCGUAAAUACCACGUAUGAUGAAUUCGUCGUAAAAACCACGUAGGAUGAAAUCGUCGUAAAUAUAACGUAAUACAAUGGGUUUGGGGUUUCGGGUUUUGGAUUUCGGGUUUCGGGUUUCGGGUUUCGGGUUUCGGGUUUCGGGUUCUAGGGAUUUAACCAUAACACUCGUUAAAAAUAACGACGAAACUUAAAAUUAAAUAUGGGGUUUGGAAUAUAUGAAAUAGAAAAUUAAAGAUGGGGGUUUGGGUUUCGGGUUUCGGGUUUGGGGGUUGGGGUUUGGGGUUUCGGGUAUGGGGUUUCGGGUUUCGGGUUUGGGUUUCGGGUUUCGGGUUUCGGGUUUCGGAUUCUAGGGAUUUAAACAUAACACUCGUUAAUUCCACGUAAGCACAAAUCGUCGUAAAGUCCUCGUAGGAUGAAAUCGUCGUAACUACCACGUAAAAUGAUUUAAACAAAACACUCGUUAAUUCCACGUAAGCAGAAAUCGUCGUAAAGACCACGUAAACGGAUUUAUACAUAAACCCGUUAAUUCCACGUAAGUACAAAUCGUCGUAAAUAUCUCGUAGUGUACAAACUUGAAAAAAAAAGAAAAAGGAGAGAAAUACCAGAUUAACAUGUGGCAAGACUUCCAGCAAUUAUAAUACGUAAGUCUCGCCCACAUCAAUUCUAAUAUCUUCUCCUUUUCUUAUUUUUUUCAAAUAUUUAUAAUUUGAAUAGGAUUUUUAUGAGGAUUGUUAUUUGAGAUAAGGUGUGAUUUGGGAGUUUGUGUGUGGUUUGAGAGUGAGAGUUGUGGGUAUAUUUAUAGGAAAGCAAGCCUCAUUAAUUCCUCGUAAGGUAAAUCGUCGUUAAUACCUCGUAUAAAAAAACACGGGCCUUUGUGAUUCCUCGCAAUUUCCUCGUAAAAAAAAAGACGGGCCUUUGUAACUGCUCGCUAUUUCGUCGUAAACAUACGAGGAAUUUGCGAUGAUAUGUAAUCUUAUAUAUACACCCGAGCGCUCACUCUUUCUUUCCUCUCUACUUCCUCUCUACUUCCUCUCCAUUUCGUAGCAAUGAUUAGCCUCUCUGAUUCCUCUCUAAUUUGGUUAGUUUAUGAUAGAUUAGGUGGUUAGUAUAGGGAAUUUAGAUAGGUUUGCGGAUUUUAUGUUGUUUAGUGUUAAUUAUGUGGAUAAUGUUGGGAAAUAUAUUGUUGAUGUUAAUUUUAAAAAUUUCAUUUUUUUCCAGGUUCGAAAAGGAAGACUUACUGCCCAUUACAGAGAGAUCUUCGGUGAGCCGGGUAGUCGUUUAGACCCGACCUCUUCUUCCGCUCCCAGUUCUUCGGGCCAGGAGACUGUCCCCGAGACUCAGUACACUCAGAGAGUCUCUGGGUCUACUUCUUCUACUGCACCAUCGGCUCCUCAUGUGCCUCCUCCGAUGCCUCCUCCUAUGCCUCCUCCUAUGCCUCCUCCGAUGGCACCUCCGAUGGCCGCCGAUAUUCAUCCUGAUUUGAUGGUGCCUCCGAGUGCUCCUUACUCGCAGUACACUGUAGAGGACAUUCUCAGUCUGCCAGGCAGAGAAGGUUUACCAGUCAUCGACCCAGACCGACCGGACGGAACUUUGUGGUAUGUUGCAUUUAUUUUUUUUUUAAUUCAUUUAAAUUUCUUUUAUAACAUUAAAAAAUAAUUUAUAUUUUAAAUUUGUAUUUUCCAGGUGGGGGGUUGACGGAUGUCUUGCAUCGGACGUAACCGACACGAUCAAGGGUUACUUCUCCAUGCCACAUCCAAACUGGAGUAAGACGCCUCACUACGUCAGAAAGACGUGGUUCAAAAUUUACGCUGUAAGUUUCUAUUAAUUAAUUAUAUAUACUUUAAUUUUUUCAUGAUUUAUAUAUAUACUUUCUAAAAAACUAAUUGUUAAUUUAUUUUUCCAACAGCAAAAAUAUACUUGGGCCUUGGGGAUCACUGAGAGGGUGAGGAAGAAGUUUAACGCGAAGACGAAAGUUCGCUUGUUGGACACGGUCUCCAACUGGAAGGGUGACUGGAUCGUGAAGGGGUAUGAGCGUGGCAAACCCGCUGAGCUCACCACGGAUGUGUGGGAUGGCCUCAUCCGUUAUUGGCGCCUUCCUGAUUCCAUUAGAAUCGCCCAGGCUUGCUCUAACUCCCAUAACACGGUCGAUGAGCACGGGAACGGGCCGAUGCUUCACACUACGGGCCAAAAACCCCACGCCGGUGUCCGUUUGGAAAUGGUAAUUAAAUAUUUUAUCAAAUAAUUUUUUUAAUAUAUAUAUUAAUUUAUUCUAACUUUCUUAACUGUUUUUUAGGCCAAAGAGACGGGACAUCUCCCUUCUCUUAUGGAACUUUACGAGAGGACCCACAAGAACAAGGCGGGCGUAUUUGUAGAUGGCAAGUCCGAGCAAAUCUACAACGACGUAGUUGCUCGGGUUGAAGACCGCCAGACUCAGCUGACCCAGCAGUCUACCGACGGAUUACCCGUCACCUUAUCCACACUUGACGUGGAUAAGAUUUACGAGGAGGUAAAUUUUCAAAAAAAUUAAUUUUUUAUUAUUCAUUUAAUUUAACUUUAAAUUUUUACUUACAAUAUUUAUUUUUUGUUUUUAAGGUUGUCCCUAAAAAAAAGGGACAGACGUUGGGUAUUGGUUCCGUCAACGAUGUUCCGAGAGCGACAUCGUCUUAUGGUCAGCGACGGGAUGAUGAAGUCACUGAGCUGCGUAGAGAGUCCGCUCAGCUGCGUAACGAGUUGACCGCGACAAAAUCUCGUAUGGGUGGAGUCGAGGGUUUCUUGGACGUUAUUGCGGCCACAAAUCCGAAAUGGGAGUCCAUGUUGAGGAACAUGCGACAACAACAUCCCAUUCAAGGCGAGUCAUCCGACGUACAUAACGAGGCGGAUGUUACGAGGAGGAGUGAUGAAUUCUACCGGGCGAUGAACGACCCUUAGUUUUUUUUUUGGUUGUUGUAUUAUAUAAAUUCAAAACUUAUUUAUAUAUAAAAUAUUUUCAUUUUGAUUUAUUUUUAUUUUAAAUUUUAAUUUAUUAUUAAAUUAAAUAAUUUUAAUUAUUUUUUAAUUAUAUUUUUAAAUUCUGUAAAAAUAAUAAAAACGAAGUAAAUUCGUAGCUAAUGUACGACCUCUUUACGUGGAAACCUUACGAGGAAAUGACGAGAAACAAUUAACGACUAUUUUACGAGGAAACAUUUGCGAGGAAAUAACGAGGAAAAGUUUACGAGUAUUUUACGAGGAAAUCGUUUCGUGGUUGUUACGUGUAUUUUGCGAGGAAACUCUUUCAAGGUAUUUACGUGUAGGUUACGAGGAACUCAUUUCGAGGUAUUUACGAGGAAUUGUAGCGACGUCUUUGCGUGGAAUAUUGACGUGGUCUUUACGAUGAAUCGCCCUACUUCGUCUUUACGACGAAAUAUAUUCCUCGCUAAGUUACGACGAAUUAGCGAGGAAAUAUGUGUUACGACGGACGAGUAACGAGCAAACGCGCUUCCUCGCUAUUUCGUCGUAAAGCCUCUUUUACGACGAAAUAACGAGGAAAACCGCCCUCGUUAAGGUGAUGUUUUCUUGCAGUGAGAGGAAGAAGAAAACCCUAGAGCAGUCCUCAAGCCCAGAGAAACUUAGAUCCUCCACCGCUGCCACAGAUCCGGCACAGAUCUGAACCUUUGCGGCAGUCAAACUCUCUCGGAUAACCCUUCCCAUCUGCAAGCAAAUCGAUGUCACCACCUCUCCAUUUACAACACAAGCGACCGGAGCCGAGACCGAUGGAGGAGCCGCCGGUCUCAGAGAUAGAUCUGAAAUUUGCUUUAACCAAAGAGAGAGAGUCUUUCUCAAAAUUAUCGUCACCUUAUAAUUGCUAAUCUUUUUUGUUGUCAUCAGCUAAUCUUAACCAUCAGAGUAAAGAUAAAUUGAUAAUAAGAUAGUUAACCAUUAUUAUAAUUAUUUAGAAUUCAUUAUUAUUACUGUAUUACAGUGGAUAUAUGUAACCUGUGUUUUCUUUUUUUUUUGGCUAAAACUCAGAAAUACUAAUUAUAGGUACAAAAAUUUAUAUAAAAUUUUAAAAUAUUAAAAAGUGGUAUAAUAAAUUAUGAGUAUAAAGUUUUAUUUUUAUGUUUUAGACGGCUAAAUAGAUACCACCUAGUCUAACUUAACCCCAUCAUAAAUCAUCUCUGGUAAAUUGAAUUAGUCUACUAACAAUUGUGCAUGCAUGAUAGGUGGAAAUAGCCUCGUGACAAAUCUUAUUUAUUGCGCACAGAUCACUGUCACUCCAUCAAAAAUAAUAAACAAAUUAUUAAAAACACGUUAUUUGUUUGACUUAAUAUUAUAUUCGCCAAAGCUUAAAGCCACAGAAACAUAUUGGCAUAAAUAACUCAUUUAUCCGCUUGUAAGUUGUACUCUUCGAUUUUAACGUGUUGAAACCAUUCGAGUUGUUGCAAUCUCAUCACAGUAUGUCGAACGGAAAAGCACCGGAGAAGUCUAGUUUUUCCCUGAGAUGUAGUUUGUUCAGCCGCUACUUGAAGGAGAAGGGUAGUUUUGGGAAUAUUGAUAUAGGGUUGGCUCGGAAACUCGAUCUUGAACUCGCCGGAAAAUCCGAUCUCAGUGGUAUGUCUUUCUCUCCUCCUCUGACGGCCGCCGCCGACAAAGGCCCAGUUUUGUUUUUGUUUCUUUAUUCAGUUGCGUAAUAGAUUUUGGCUUACAAAAGAGGGAAAAGUAUAUUAAAUAUUCGUUUUUUUUUGUUUAAAUGUAAAAUCAGAAAAUUUUAACAUAUUUUAGUUUGAAGAUGAACAUAGAAAUUUUAAUUAAUCUAAUUUUUUCAAUCUUCAUUUUAAGUAAAUUUGGUGUUUUUUUUUGGUUAUAGGACAACAAAAUGAGAUAAAGAAGGCAGACAUUUCAGAAACCAGACCCUUCGAUUUGUCUCAGAAGGUUUCAGUAGGUGAAGUCUCUACUUCUUCCGGAGGCAAUCCCAGAUUUGUGGAUCUAAGGUACAUAUAUGGGCAUGAUGUUGUGGUAUUAAAUAAAAGUCUUGGCUUUAUACAUUUUGUCGGAAAUAAACUAGAGAAGGGUCAAAAGUGUGUAUGUAUAGAUGUGUGGAUUUUGAACAAUGUACUAAUGGUUUGGUUUUAGCGAACCAGCAAGUGUAGUACCGGAACCUGGAAAUUCCCAGUUAACCAUAUUCUUCCGCGGAAAAGUUAUGGUUUACGACGAGUUUCCUGAAGACAAAGCAAAGGAGAUAAUGGAAGCAGCGAGAGAAGCAGCACAUCAUGUUUCUACUGAUUCAAAGAACACUCAGAAUCUAGACAUGAACGUCAACAACAAAAGCAACGUUGUGAUUCCUGAUCUGAACGAGCCAAGUACUUCCGGGACCAACAACGAUGAUCAUCAAACAGGACAGCAACAUCAAGUCGUGGAACGCAUUGCAAGAAGAGCCUCUCUUCAUCGUUUCUUUGCUAAACGAAAAGACAGGUAAAUUAAACUUGAAGCAUAAAACCAACUUAACUAUGAUUCUAUACAAAUAAUAUAUGUUUUUGAUGCUUCCAUAUAGUACAAGAACGAAAUAACUUACAAGUUUUUGGGUGUGUUUGAAUUUUUCAGGGCUGUGGCUAGAGCUCCGUAUCAAGUGAAUCAAAGUGGUGGUCAUCUUCCUCCCAAGCCACAAAAGGUUGGUCCAUCGGUAGAGCCAGGACAACCCUCGCGACAGCCUGAGACUCCCUCAAAACCAAAGAGACAUAACGAUGUGUCGAUGGAAGUGGACGGAGAAGGAAGGUGUUCAGAAGAUCUCGAACUCAAGCUUUAGUACAUAUAAAAGGUCAUGUUUGGAGUUGAACUUAUUUAGGAUUCGAAGCCGCAUAAUAAAUGUUUAGAUUCUUUGAGGUUGUAUUACGUAGUCAUACUUUUCUAUAUAUAUAUAUAUAUAUACAUACAUACAUACAUACAUACAUACAUACUCGUUUCUAAAUAUAUAUGUUUAGUUUGAAUUGUCAUUUAUAUUCUUAUGCGACGGAAGAUAGUGGAAUCUAUUCCAAAAACAUUAUAGAACCCAUGAAGUCUCGUCUCCAGCUGCUGAAGUGACGGUACAACUUAUUGGAAUAUAGAUAGAACACUUGUUGUAUGACCACUGGAUGUGCAUUUCGAAAGCAUAAGCUAAUUCUAUGUAAAUCCGUGUGCAAGGCUGGUCCUCAGAUUUUAAAGGCAAAUAAUAUUUAGUAAGAACUUUGAAAAAAAUUUAAACAAUUUGGCAGUUAUGUCUUUUAUAUAUAUAUAUAUAUAUAUAUAUAUAUAUAUAUUCCCUUAAAAUUGGGAGUCCAGAACCAAUGUUUUACUUUGCUACCAGGACCGGCUCUACUAUGUGAGCUGAGCAAUUUGCUUUCUUUCUUGCUCUAUUGCAAAGAACAUACUUGAGAGCUAGUGUCUAACGAAUUCAAGCAAAGCUCUUAUGUGAUAGUACCAGGACAACGAUUCUGAGAGAUCUCUCGUUCGACAACGGUAUGGCGAUGGCGGAUCCGCCGGAUUUACCUCUAUCUCCGACGAUUAGAGGUGUUUCUACGGAGGAAGCGCAAGUUUCGGAUUGGGUUACGAUGUCUGGGUUGGGAUCUACUGGGAUUUCAACUCCGACGAAGGAUGUGGAUACGAAGGAUGUGGAUACGAAGAAAAGCGAUCAGGAGCAGAUUCUUCCGAUNNNNNNNNNNNNNNNNNNNNNNNNNNNNNNNNNNNNNNNNNNNNNNNNNNNNNNNNNNNNNNNNNNNNNNNCUUCCGAUCAAACCUAAAGGAUCGUGGGUAGGGGAUUUCAACUCCGACGAAGGAUGUGGAUACGAAGGAUGUGGAUACGAAGAAAAGCGAUCAGGAGCAGAUUCUUCCGAUACCUAAAGGAUCGUGGGUAGGCGCAGUUCAAGGUCGAAAGGUUCUGAAGAAGUAUGACGUUGAGAUCGAAAUGAAGGAUGAGGUUGGAUCGAUAACGGUUCCGGAGGAGAUAACGAAGGAUGUAGCUCUUUUUUGGGAUGAUUUUUCUGAUUGGCAAAUUUCUGGAUGAGGCUCCACACAUAGCUAAGGUACACGCGAUUGUGAACAAGAUUUGGAACUUGAAUGAUAAGGCUCAGAGGGUAGAAGUCUUUGAGGUGAACUCUACGACGAUGAAGUUCAGAAUCUUGAAUCAGGCGGAUAAAAACAGAAUUCUAAGAAGGGGGAUGUGGAAUCUAGCUGGAAUUCUGGUGGUCAUGACGAAAUGGUCGCCGGUAGUAGAGAAGGAUAAGCCUCCAACACAAUCGAUACCAAUGUGGGUUCAUGUCAAAAGAGUUCCUUUGACAAUGUUCUCGUGGCAAGGGUUAAGCUACCUAACAAGUCCAUUGGGAGUUCCACGGAGAUUGCACCCGGAAACAGCUCAAUGCUUAAACUUGGAAGAGGCGAAGGUGUUCGUUAAUGUGGAUUUGACGAAGGAUCUACUUAAGCAGCUGAACUUCAAUAUCCAAGGAGAGGUGGUCUUGGUGGAAUACAACUACCCGAGGCUACCAAAGAAAUGUGUGAAAUGUGAGAAGUGGGGUCACAAUGGGAAAAUCUGUCCUAUGGGAAAAGAAGAGAUACAAGAAAAUCAGAAUGAAGUGGAAGAUGGAGAAAUAAGAGUAGGGGAAGAGGAUGUAGAUAAGGAAGCUUUGUGUACGGGGGAUAAGGUUCAGGAGAGUAACACAAAUGAAGAACGGGUUUUGGAAACAAAUGAUAAGGUGGAAAGGACGAUAGAGCAGGGUAAAGAAGAAAAGGGUAGUGAAAACAAGUCAUCAGGGAAUGGGCUGAUGUUUCUCCAGGGAAAGCAAGUCGGCCUCAUAGAGAUUUGGAUUUUGAGCAGGUAUCUAUACUUACUAAAUUCAGAUUCUUUGUUUUAUCUCCGGAUGAGGAAGAAAAUCUUGAGGAAAAGAAAGAGGAAGAUGAAUCUUCUGAGGAAAAUGAGGAUGAGUUGAUUGUUACUCGUCAAUGCUUGCCUCGGGAUUCCAAGUUAAACCACAGAUAUCUGAGAGGAGGUCAGAAAGUUCAGGAUGCAUGUCCGAGCUAUCUGAAUAGAAAGAAACCCCGACGUAAUUAAUAUGUCAGGUUUUUUCUGGAACAUGAGAGGCUUUAACAAGCAGUCUAAACAUAUGAUUGUGAAGGAUUGGAUUAGGAGAAGUGAUUUUCAGUUUGGUUGCUUAAUUGAAACUAGAGUAAAGGAGGGUAGAAUGAAAAGGAUUUUGGCAAAGGUGGUUCCGGGAUGGUCUUAUGUGGCGAACUAUGAGUAUCAUAGAUUGGGGAGGUUGUGGAUAGUAUGGAGUUCGAGAGUGAGGGUUACCCCCUGCUUUCAGAGUGCUCAGUUGGUAACUUGUUCAAUUCUUAUGUAAGGGAUUGGAGUGGAAUUUUUUUGUUCUUUCGUUUAUGGCUUGAAUCUGGCUGAGGAGAGAAGAGAACUAUGGCAGGAUCUUAAGGAUCAUCAGGACUCUCCUAUCAUUAGGAAAGCUCUGUGGAUUACAAUGGGAGACUUCAAUGAGAUCUUGGAUGGUACAGAGCAUUCAGUGGAUGCUUCUCUCGAUUCUCUAGGGAUGAGAGAGUUUCAGGAAACUGUGGAGAAUUGCUUGUUGGUGGAUAUGUCUUUUCAGUGUCCCAAAUUUACCUGGAGUAACAAGAGGGAUAAUGGAGUUAGCUGUAAAAAGUUAGAUAGAACUCUUAUAAAUGAAGCUUGGGUGAGAUGUUUUCCUCAGUCGUACUGUGUGUUUGAAGCGGGUGGUUGUUCUGACCAUCAAAGAUGUAGGUUUGUGGUUAAGGAGGAGGAAAUGAAGCCACAAAAGCCUUUUAAAUUUGUUAAUGCUUUGGUCGAUUCGCCUGAGUUUCUUCGGCUUGUGGAAAGCGUUUGGUCGGAGACAGAGCCUCUCUUUAUCUCUACGUCUGCUUUAUUCAGAUUAUCUAAGAAACUCAAGGCAUUAAAACCUCAUCUGAGAAAUCUAAGUAAAGAAAAGUUUGGUGAUAUUUUUAAGAAGACAAACAAAGCUUACAAGAAUCUUUGUAUGACUCAAACAACAACAUUGGAAGAUCCUGGUCAAAGUAAUAUGGAGGCUGAAUUGAUAGCUUAUGAUAGAUGGGUGUUCCUAUCAAGAAUCGAGGAGAAGGUUCUAAGUCAGAGAGCAAAAGUGCAUUGGCUAGAUGUUGGUGAUGGGAAUAACAAGAGUUUUCACAGAGCUGCGAAAGUUAGAGAAAUCAUGAAUUCUAUCCGAGAGAUUAAAAGAGCUGAUGGUUCUACUGCAGAUACUCAAGAGGAAAUUAAGAAGGAAGCCGUUGAUCAUUUUCAAAGUUUUUUGACGUAUAUUCCUGAUGAUUUUGAAGGAGUGGAAAUUGAGGAACUGGAGUCUUUAUUGGAUUAUGAAUGCUCCGAAGUGGAUAUGAGUAUGUUGAUUAGUGCUGUAUCUAUUGAGGAAGUGAAGAAGGUUCUAUUCUCAAUGGCUGCAGACAAAUCUCCGGGCCCUGACGGUUAUACCACGGAGUUCUUCAAGACUACUUGGCAUAUUACCGGAAAAGAUCUAGUUACAGCAGUGCAAUCUUUUUUGAUAAGGGCUUCCUUCCCAAGGGUAUCAACUCCACCAUUUUGGCCUUAAUUCCAAAGAAGAAUGACGCGAUCACCAUGAAAGACUACCGUCCUAUAUCUUGCUGUAAUGUCAUCUAUAAAGUAAUCUCGAAACUGUUAGCUAAUCGGAUGAAAAAGCUGCUCCCUGUUUAUUUCUCUGAACCAGUCAGCCUUUGUAAAGGAUCGCUUACUAAUGGAAAAUGUCCUUCUAGCUUCUAAACUAGUGAAGAGCUAUCACAAUGAUUCAGUUACAGAAAGGUAUGUGGUCAAGAUUGAUAUAUCAAAAGCCUUCGACUCGGUGCAGUGGUCUUUUUUAUUAACAGUGCUGGCUGCUAUGAACUUCCCGGAAAAGUUUAUUAUCUGGAUCAAGAAGUGUAUUGAGAUGGCGUCUUUCUCCAUUCAGAUAAACGGAGAGCUUGCAGGAUACUUUAACAGUAAUAGGGGAUUGCGUCAGGGAUGCUCUUUGUCUCCCUAUCUUUUUGUUAUUUGUAUGCAGACGCUUUCAAAACUAUUGGAUAAAGCUGCUCUAGAGAAAAGAAUUGGCUUUCAUUCGUACUGCAAAGAUCUCAGUUUGACCCAUUUUUGUUUUGCGGAUGAUGUAUUAGUUUUUUCAGAUGGGAGGAAGCAGUCUAUUGAGGGUAUCUUGGCAGUUUUCAGGCGAUUUGCGAGGAUGUCUGGACUUAACAUUAGUCUUGAGAAGUCAACCUUGUUUCUGGCUGGUGUGAAAGCAGAAGACAAUGUGGCUAUCUUGGAUCAAUUCCCUUUUGAAGCUGGUACCUUACCAGUGAGAUACCUUGGUCUCCCCCUCUUGACCAAGAAAAUGACAGUUCAAGAUUACAGUAGGCUUAUAUCUCAAAUUAGAGCAUGAAUUUCUUCUUGGACGGCGAGUGAUAUUAGGAGUUUUCAAGGCUCCUAAGACAAAUGGUGUAGUAUAAAUGAUUGUCGAACCAAUUCUAAGGGAUUUCAAGCACUGAGAAUGCAAGUACUUACUUAAUCUAAGUGCAACCGAUGAUUUUAAAGGUUUUCUAAACUAACGAUUAUUACUAAUGCAGUUUCAGAAUAAUAAAAACGGUAAAUGAGUUGACUUUCUUAACUAAGGAAAUGAGAACUCAUGGGCAUAGGAAUUAGACCUUGGGUGAUCAAGUUUCGAACUGAGGAUGGCAAACGAACAAUCAAACUAUCAACCUUAAGCUUAGACACGAUUCUAAACAAACUCUAUGUCUAGAUGAAUGUUCAUUUACUAACACAUUUCAAACAACAAAUGUCUUCGGUUGAAUAAUAUGGAAGCAAUCAUUACUAACAGGUCUAAGGCUAUCUUAGCACUUCUAACAACAAAUGUCUUUGGCAAAAUAUGCUAAAAGCUUAGAAGAGUUGUUUCAUGCAUUUCAUCGAACACCUUUUGGGUGGAAAAUGCCUAAAGAUCAACUUUUGAGAAGCUAACUCACAAGAUGCAUUGUGAUUACUCUACUAGCAAGGUUUUGGAAUGAUCUACUCUAAAACAUCCUAGCUCUAACCUAAUCACCCUUAAUCUUCCAAACCCAUGAAUUCAAAUGGUAAUUACUCACUACUCUUCAUGAUUCCUCUUAAACCCAUUUUGGAUUUCAGAUUAAUCAUACAGAGGGAUACAACAAAGAAUUGGAAAACAUAGAAUUGCAAAUACUAGAUGAACAAAGAUGAUUCAAGAGAUGAACUUUCCAAAGGUUUUUUCUUAGAACAAAGAUAUUCUGUCUGGUGGCUGCCAAAAGUACUUAAUUCAUAGGUUUUCAGAAGUAAAAACGUGCAUAAUGAAAUGACCAAAAGGCCCUUGAGUAGAAAUGAAUUCGAGCAAACAGAAGGCGCACAGCGACCUGCAGUAGUCGCUCCGGGAGGUCACUCCAGGCUUCGGGAGCGACCUGGAGGGGUCGCUGCGGGACGUCGCUCUGGGUCACUCUUCGCGAGCGACCUCGCUGUGUCGCUCCGGUCACGUCGCUCCGGGUGAUGGAAGAUUGGUAUAAAAGAUGUGACAACUCAAGUGUGUAUAGCCAUGACUCAGUACACAAGGGACCAUGAGCAAGAUGCAUUAAGUUCGUUCAGUUCAAAUAAUGUUGUAGUUGGCUUCAAAGACUGAGUUUCAGCAAUCAACAAGUUUCAGGAAGAGUUUUCAAGGCUCGAAGCAUACAAGUCCUUUUGAGAGGUGCAUAAGCUACUCAGGUGCAAAGUAGUGUUCUUUACAAGGCAUUUAAAAUCAUUGCUCCCAAUGCAAGUGAAUGCAACCUAUAUGCUCUAGACUCUCCUAGAAAAUGCAAAUGAAGCAAACUAAAUGAUUUUUUUUUAUAUGCAAAUAGAUAUGCAAUGCAUGACUCAAUGAAACAACAUCAAAGCAAACAUGAUCAAAUACUUGGUACCUCCCCCAAACUUAAAUGACACAGUCUCUGUGUUGUCAAAGAGAGGGAGAUACCCAAAAAGAGAAAACUAAUAUGCAAAAACGAAAUGGUAUAUACAGGGGAAAGUAGAGAACUACCUUCAAGGAUAGUAAGUGGGGGCAGAUGCCCCAGCAUCAUCAUCGUCCGGUGGGAACGUGGUGUAGUAACCUCCAUGUCCUGAGCUGUAGUCUCCAUACCAUUGUUGGCUCUAAACUUCUUCAAUCUCAGCUUCACUUUCUGAAGAGGCUAGGGAUGGAAACUUGUUUCCAGAGGCGGAAGGCUGAGUGGGUGGGUUUCUCCAUUAUCGCUGGAGCUGUCUAUCAGUGAGUGGGAAACCAAGAUCAGUGGGAAUGUGACAACUCAAGUGUGUAUAUCAAUGAUUCAGCACACAAGGGACCAUGAGCAAGAUGCAUUAAGUUCGUUCAGUUCAAAUAAUGUUGUAGUUGGCUUCAAAGACUGAGUUUCAGCAAUCAACAAGUUUCAGGAAGAGUUUUCAAGGCUCGAAGCAUACAAGUCCUUUUGAGAGGUGCAUAAGCUACUCAGGUGCAAAGUAGUGUUCUUUACAAGGCAUUUAAAAUCAUUGCUCCCAAUGCAAGUGAAUGCAACCUAUAUGCUCUAGACUCUCCUAGAAAUGCAAAUGAUGCAAACUAAAUGAUUUUUUUUUAUAUGCAAAUAGAUAUGCAAUGCAUGACUCAAUGAAACAACAUCAAAGCAAACAUGAUCAAAUACUUGGUACCUCCCCCAAACUUAAAUGACACAGUCUCUGUGUUGUCAAAGAGAGGGAGAUACCCAAAAAGAGAAAACUAAUAUGCAAAAACGAAAUGGUAUAUACAGGGGAAAGUAGAGAACUACCUUCAAGGAUAGUAAGUGGGGGCAGAUGCCCCAGCAUCAUCAUCGUCCGGUGGGAACGUGGUGUAGUAACCUCCAUGUCCUGAGCUGUAGUCUCCAUACCAUUGUUGGCUCUAAACUUCUUCAAUCUCAGCUUCACUUUCUGAAGAGGCUAGGGAUGGAAACUUGUUUCCAGAGGCGGAAGGCUGAGUGGGUGGGUUUCUCCAUUAUCGCUGGAGCUGUCUAUCAGUGAGUGGGAAACCAAGAUCAGUGGGCUGAGGUGGGGGCUGGGGGUCUGAUGUGUUCGCGAAGGCGAAGUUCGCUGAGCUACAUCCAGCUAUUCCUCCUCUGGUCAAAACAUCGGACACCUUCUUCAUGAACUUGGUUGAAGUCUUUGCUUGCUUCUUCACCGUCUUGCUCAACGCCUUGCACUUGUCCUUCAGCUUUUCGUUUGUUUUGUCUUGUGCCUUGUUCCGUCGCUGAAGUCGGCUAAUGUGGUCAUGAGCAUCACGAAGCGCACCAGGGGGAAGGACUCCAUCAUGUGGCUUGAAGUAGUAGCGUGGAGGUCCAUAGAUGGGUACAGAUUCUUCCCUAGGAGGUUCUGUGAAGUUGUGUCUCGUUGGAACACUCCUUUUCCUUGGUGCAGCAAUGGGACUGAGAGACCCGUGUUCUCCAAGAAAGUCUUCGUGGGAUAAGUUGAAGCUGAUAGCUCCAGAUCUCUCUAAGCUCGUCAGUCUCUGGUUUGGAAGAAGCACUUCGACCGGCUUGCCCUGUAAGUAGUAGUGGUAGACGUAGUCCUUCCCAUACAUCCCACUGAAAUAGGUGGCAAUCCUCAAGUAAGUGCCAUCGAUGAACUUAGGCCCUGCUGCGUCCUUUCCCAAGGGAACAUUCAGAAAUUGGAGCAGUGGUGUGAUCAUCCCGCCUAUCCCAACCUUUGGUUGCGAAUCAGUUGUGUACCAUGCCCAGUCUCUGUAGUGCUCGAGACGAUUCACGAAGAAGCUGACCAUCCCGAAGGAAGCAUAGAUGUCGUUGCUUGGAAGGGGCAACGUUCCAGGUGGGGCGUAGGGGCGGAUAGCCGGGCAGAGCAGUCGCAUGUCUUCCUCGGUGACAUUACCAGCUUGCUUCCGUGGGUAGAAUGCAUGGACGAGCAUCCUAUGGAGGUAGCGUACAGACGGGUGCCGGAUAUGUGAGUUCUUGUCAGCCCCGGUAGAGUGCUUGUUUCCAGUGAUUAACUUCCAAAGCUGAGUGGGGAGGUUUUCACACUUGGGAAGGGAGUAGUCUGCCAAGUCUUGGAAACCCAUGACUCUCCCAAUGUCUUUGAAGUUCAUGUUGUACUCUCUCCCAUUGACCUUGAACUUUAUUUUGCCCCAUCCUUGCCUCACGUGCGGAUCGUCAUGGUAAGUGACCUCAAGGGAAGACAAGAACUGACAGGAGACAUCCCGGUAGGCGGGGUAGGCCAUGGUGAGGAGUUUGGGCAUCUUCAGGUGCCCCAGCAUUGCCUCAAUAUCAGAAUCGAGACCCACCUCCUUCAGCAAAUCAAGGUCAGCGAAUCUGGUUGGAGUCCAAGUUACCCCAUUCAGCAAAUGGUGAUACAGCUCUUCCUCAGAUGGAGUUUUCGCCCUGUCUCUAUCCUCAGCAACCUCUUUCCCCUUGGACAUCUUGGCCCUCUUUGUAGGAGCCUGCUCAUCUGCACUUUCAUCGCCACUCUCCUCAUCUGUGGCAACUGCUAUACUCUUUCCUGCCCUCUUCUCUUGCUCCUUUGCCUUCUUUGCAGCCACGGUUUUCUGUCGAGAAGUCCUUUGUGUCCCAGAACCAGCUCGUUCCGAGGCUAAAGCCUUUCCUCUCAACGAAGACUCUUGACUUUCAGGUUCUUGCCUCUCAGCAUCCGACUUUCCCUUAGUUUUCCUAACCAUUGUACCUGAGAAAUACAAAACUUGGAAAGGGAUAAGUCGAUUGACUUUGCAAAUGUAAACUUCAAGAAGCAACGUAAAGAAUCACAAUUCUCAAUCUUUUCAUCAUGUGAAAAUUACAAGACAAGUAAAAUUCAAUAAUCAAAGUAAUUCUAGAAUGAGAGGGUUCUCUAAUCAAACCUUUCAACACCUUAACAUACUAACUCACCCACUAACACACUCAAAUAGGAUCAAUUUCGAAAAGCCCCAAAUCCAUGAACCCUAAUUUUGCCAAAGUUCAAAUUAAGCUCAUUUCCACCUUCAAUUCAACAACCCAACUUGAUAUAUAAGCUUUCCCUAGUCUAUUUCACCACAAUCAAGCAAGAAAAUGACCAAAUUUCGAUUUUCAAAUUCUAGGGUUCAUGGACCUACGAAUUUGAAUUUAAAAACACAAUACCUUGCUUUGGAUGGAAGGAAAUGGGGAAUGGGUGGUGAGGAAUAGACUGUUGGGGCGAAAGCUUUGAUUUAGAAACAAGAACUAGGAGAUUUGGGUGAGAAUUGAGAAAGUUAGGAGAUUUUUGGUGUGGGUUUGUUUGAGAGAGUAUGAGUGUUUGUGAGAGGAAGGGAGAGUGAAAGAGAUGAAGGUCGUGGGUAUGGGUAGGUCUAGGGUCGUCAGGUUAGGUUUAGGGCUGGUUAACUCGAAUUAAACCGGACAAAAUCGAAGAGGGACUUACCUGGACCGGCUCGGGAGCGACCUGGAGUGGUCGCUCUGAUAGGUCGCUCCGUGUCGCAGUAAAGGCGAGCGACCUCACGUGGUCGCUGCGUCACGUCGCUCCCAGCGACAGAAAACGCGAGCGACCUCACGUGGUCGCUGCGAGACGUCGCUCCGAGAGCGAUUCUCGAGCCUCGGAGACAGAAAACGUGAGCGACUUAGCAGAGUCGCUCUGAUCACGUCGCUCCCAGCGACAGGAAACGCGAGUGACCUCACGUGGUCUCUGCGAGACGUCGCUCCGAGAGUGAUUCUCGAGCUCCGGACACCGAAAACACGAGCGACUUGGACCAGUCGCUCUGAUCACGUCGCUCCCAGCUGGAGCGACCUCGUGGCGUCGCUGCGGAACCUCACUCCCACGCUCGAGUCCUUGCCUUGACCGGAUCGAUGAACCACCUGAACAAUACUUCAACACUUUCCCUUUUUUUUUUUUAUGAAAUAUGAUGAAAAUGAAAAUACCAAUGCAAUAUGUACAAGGAUACGCAUGGGACUUCCUCCCAAGUGAGCUUGUUUUAAGUCUCUAGCUUGACUUUGCCUCCUUUUGGAUUAGGCUGGGGUAGGAUCAGACAGUGGAGUUGAAACUCCAUCUUCCUCAGGUGCAUCUGCCAUGUAGAGCUUAACCCUUUGCCCAUUGACUGUGAAGUCUCUUCCAUCAGUACUCCACAAAACUAUUGCUCCAUAUGGCUUAACCUCUUUGACCUUGAAAGGGCCGGACCACCUUGACUUAAGCUUUCCUGGAAACAACUUCAGUCUUGAGUUGUAGAGAAGAACUUGAUCUCCUUCUUUAAACUCUCUCUUUAGGAUAUUCUUGUCAUGGAAAGAUUUAGUCUUCUCCUUGUAGAUCCUUGAGUUUUCGAAGGCAUCCAUUCUUAUCUCAUCAAGCUCAUGUAGCUGAAAAAGCCUUUUCUCCUUGGCACUCUUGAUGUCAAAGUUCAGCAACUUUACUGCCCAAAGCGCCUUGUACUCAAGCUCCACUGGUAGAUGGCAAGCUUUCCCGUACAAUAGGUUGAAAGGUGUGGUCCCCAGAGGUGUCUUGUAAGCUGUCCUGUAAGCCCAAAGCGCAUCAUCAAGCUUAACUGACCAAUCCUUCCUUGUAAUCCCCACAAUCUUCUCCAAAAUGGACUUGAUCUCUCUGUUAGAAAUCUCAACUUGACCACUUGUUUGAGGAUGGUAAGGAGUUGCAACCUUGUGCUUAACACCGUUCUUCCUGAGAAGUCCCUCAAGCAGUUUGUUGAUGAAAUGAGACCCUCCAUCACUGAUUACAACUCUUGGAACUCCGAACCUUGGAAAGAUGGUGCUCUUGAACAUCUUGAUUACCACUCUUGCAUCAUUGGUGGGACUUGCAAUAGCUUCCACCCAUUUUGAGACAUAAUCAACAGCUACCAGGAUGUACUUGUUGCCAUGUGAUGAUGGAAAUGGCCCCAUGAAGUCAAUACCCCACACAUCAAACACUUCAACUUCAAGGAUUGGAUUCUGAGGCAUCUCAUUCCUCUUGGUGAUGUUUCCCCUCCUUUGGCAUGAAUCACACCUUGAAACAAAGUCUUGUGUGUCCUUGAACAUGUGUGGCCACCAGAAUCCAGCUUGUAACACCUUAGCAACAGUCUUGAAGGUAGCAAAGUGGCCUCCAUAAGAUGAUCCAUGACACUGUGUAAGGAUCCCAUCAAUCUCCUCAUUAGCAACCACUCUCCUAUAAAGUUGAUCUUUGCAGAGAAUGUAGAGGUAGGGCUCAUCCCAGUAGUAUCUCUUCACAUCCUUGUAGAACUUCUUCUUGGCAUAACCCACAAGAUUCAAAGGCUCUUUUCCUGUGGGUAGGUAAUUCACCAAAUCAGCAUACCAAGGUUAUUUCUCUUCUGUUGCCUUGACUUCUUCAAGCUUCCUUCCAGUCUCACAAACUGCUAUCACUGCUCCAAUAGCCAUGAUCUGUUCCUCAGGGAGUCCUUCAUCAAUAGGAAUGCCACACUCCACUCUCAGCCUGGACAAGUGAUCAGCUACACCAUUCUCAACUCCUGGCUUGUCCUUGAUCUCUAAAUCAAACUCUUGCAGCAAAAGAAUCCAUCUCAAGAGCCUGGGCUUUGCAUCCUUCUUCGCCAAAAUGUGUCUCAACGCAGCAUGAUCUGUGUAGACAAUGACUUUAGAUCCCACCAAGUAGCUUCUGAACUUCUCAAAGGCAAAGACAAUUGCUAGCAUCUCCUUCUCUGUUGUGGCAUAUCUCAUCUGAGCAUCAUUCAGGGUUUGGCUCGCGUAGUAGAUCACAUGGGUCUUGCCAUCUUUCUUCUGCCCCAAAACAGCUCCCACAGCAUAAUCACUAGCAUCACACAUGAUCUCAAAGGGGAGAUCCCAAUUAGAUGGCUGGAUAAUUGGAGCACUGAUGAGUUCACCUUUCAGCUUCUUGAAGGCUUCUAGACACUCCACUUCAAAGCUGAAGGUGGCUUCUUUGCACAGCAGCCUGGUCAAUGGUCUAGUAAUCAUGGAGAAGUCCUUUAUGAAUCUCCUGUAAAACCCAGCAUGACCAAGAAAACUUCGGAUGUCUUUCACUGUUUUUGGUGGGGGCAAACCAACCAUAACAUCGAUUUUGGCCUUAUCCACCUCAAUCACCUUCUCUGAAAUCUUGUGCCCCAGCACAAUCCCUUCUUUGACCAUAAAGUGACACUUCUCCCAGUUCAGCACAAGGUUGGUGUCUUCACAUCUCUGUAGGACCCUGCACAAAUUUGACAAACAAGCAGAAAACGAAGAUCCAUAGACAUAGAAAUCAUCCAUGAACACCUCCACAACAUCCUCAAUCAGAUCAGAAAAGAUCGACAUCAUGCACCUUUGAAAGGUGGCUGGAGCAUUACAUAGACCUAAUGGCAUUCUUCGAUAUGCGAAGGUACCAUAAGGACAUGUGAAUGUUGUUUUCUCCUGAUCAUUGGGAUGUAUGGAGAUCUGGAAGAAUCCUAAAUAUCCAUCAAGAAAACAAUAGAAUGGAUGAUUUGCAAGUCUCUCAAGCAUCUGAUCAAUAAAUGGAAGUGGAAAAUGAUCCUUUCUAGAUGCAGAGUUCAGUUUGCGGUAAUCAAUACACAUCCUAUGCCCAGUGACUGUUCUUGUUGGUAUCAAUUCAUCCUUGUGAUUUUUAAUCACAGUUAUACCACCCUUUUUUGGCACAACAUGCACAGGAGAUACCCAUUUAGAAUCUGAGAUAGGGUAGAUAACACCAGCAUCUAAGAGUUUAAGAAUCUCUUUCUUUACAACAUCCUUCAGGUUAGGAUUUAACCUUCUUUGAUGCUCGAUAGAAGUCAUUGAUUCAUCCUCAAGAUGUAUCCUAUGCAUACACAAAGAGGGCGAUAUUCCCUUGAUGUCAUCAAGUGAGUAACCUAUUGCUUUUCUAAAUAUUUUAAGUGUUUUCAAAAGUUCAGAUAGCUCAGUUUCAGUAAGUUCACUACUCACAAUGACUGGAUAAGUUCCAUUAGGACCAAGAAAUGCAUACCUUACACCAUUAGGGAGAGGUUUAAGCUCGCUCCAGUCGUUUUGCUGGGUGUCCCCUUGUUGAAUGACCGAGGCUUCCUGAUGGACAAUUUGAGGCAGCUCCUCAUACUGAUCCUUACUACCAAAUCCUCUGUGUGAAUCCAACAUCAUCCCAUAGGCAGCACUCUCCAGGUUCUGAAUCACUUCAGCUGGCCUCUCUAUCGUCAAAGCAUGAUGUAGAGGGUCUUCUAUGGACAAUUCUUCAAGGAGCUCAUCAGCAAGGGCAUCCAUUUCUUCAAUGUAGAAAACUUGCCCUUGAACUGUUGGUUUCUUCAUUACCUCCUUGAUGUCAAAGUGAAGAACAUGCCCUUUACCCAAGUGGAGAUCAAUCUUGCCCUCUUUCACAUUAACAAUUGCUCCUGCUGUAGCUAAGAAAGGCCUUCCAAGGAUUAAAGGAUCUGCAGCUUCCUCACCCAUCUCAAGCACCACAAACUCUGUAGGGAUCUCAUAUUUUCCAACCAUAACGGGAGGUCCUCUAAGAUACCCACCGGGUACUUCACUGAACGAUCAGCCAAUACCAGAGACAGUCUACACUUCUUGUACUGAGUGAAACCAAGCUUCUUAGCAACAGAUAAAGACAUCAAGCUGACACUAGCUCCCAAAUCGCAGAGACAUCUAUCAAAUACCAUAGGUCCAAGAGCACAAGGUAAUGUGAAGCAUCCUGGAUCUUCUAACUUCUUUGGAACAACAAGCCUCUGGAUGAUGGCACUGCACUCAUGAGUGAGAAUCAUCAUGCCCUCCAUCUCCUUCUUCUUUGCAGCUACAACAUCUUUCAGGAACUUGCUAUAUUGAGGAAUCAGCAUGAAAGCAUCAAUGAUGGGCAUUGUGACUUGAACUUCACUCAUUUGCUUCUCAAAUAGAGCUUUGUACUUCUCUAGCAGCUGCCUCUUGAAUCUACUAGGGAAUGGUAGUUUGGGUUCAUAGGGAGGAGGAACAAAAGAAUUCUCACUUGCUGGAGCAACAACUUCACCAUCUUUCACUGUUUUCUUCUCUUCCCCAACCUUUCCUUUACCUUUUGCUUCCACAAUCUUCUCCAAGAUUUCAUCAUUGAUUUUCUCAUCAACAAUCACCACUUCAUCAUCUAUGUUGAUGGCAACCCCCUCACCUUGUUUCUCAGCAUCCUUGGUGAGAGCUUUCUGAGGUAACUCCUUACCACUCCUGAGGGUGAUAGCUUUCAUGGUCUCCUUGGGGUUUUGCUCAGAUUUUCCAGGUAAAGAACCUUGUUGGCGAUUUUGUUGAGUGUUCAUGGCAGCAAACUGGUUCUCCAAGGUUCUGAACUUGUUGUUGAGCUCAUUGUAGCUUCCAUCAAUCUUUGAGUGAAGGUUCUUCAACUCAUAGCCAACAUGCUUCUCACUUCUUGUCUGAGACUCCAAGAUUUGUUUUAGUAGGGCAUCAGUGCUGCUGACUGGAGGAGUAGAGGUAGAAGUAGUAGGUUGUUGUUGGGCAGGUUGUUGUCCUUUGUUGUUGAAACCGGGAGGAGGGUUUUGUUGAGGCUGAUAGCUGCCUUGCUGGUUGUUCCGAGGCUGAUAACCACUCUGUUGGUUGUUGGGGUAAGAUCUCUGUUGGUAGUUGUUGUACUGAAAGUUUGGCUCUUUCUUGUACCAGCUACCAUUGUUGUUGAUGAAGCACAGCUCUUCUUGCCCUUCCAAACCAUCAACUUCCUGGACAACAGGUGUGGCUUCUUGGUUUGGGUUACCAACAAAGUGCAGCUGCUCCUGGGUGGCCUUAUCAGCAAUGAGAAUAUCAAUCUUAUCCUGGAGAGCCUUUAACUCCUUCCUCGUCUGCUUGUCAUCUGUUCGACUGCCUCUGUCGUGGUCUCCACUGUAGACUGCAUCACUCUUGACCAUGUUGUCUACCAGCUGCUCUGCAUCCUCCUCUGUUCUUCCCAAGAAGAACCCAUUGCUAGCUGUAUCCAAUCUGGCUCUGUACUUAGGAAGAGCUCCUCUGUAGAAUGUGCUCAGCAGGCUUUCCUUAGAGAAUCCAUGAUGAGGGCAUUGAGCUUGGUAGCCUUUGAAUCUCUCCCAGGCUUCACUGAAUCCUUCCAAGCCUUUCUGUUGAAAGCUGGAGAUCUCAUUUCUCAGCUUAGCAGUUCUUGAAGUAGAGAAGAACUUCUCCAAGAAAGCUUUCUUGCAGUCAUCCCAAGUGGUGAUAGAGUCGCUUGGUAGAGACUUCUCCCACUGUCGUGCCUUAUCCCCCAGAGAGAAAGGGAAUAACUUCAGCUUUAAGGCAUCCUCAGACACACCAUUGGUUUUUGACAACCCACAGUAGCUGUCGAACCUGUCCAAGUGAUCAAAUGGGUCCUCUAGAGCCAAGCCAUGAUACUUGUUGUUCUCGAUCACGUUGAGGAGUCCUGAUUUGAUCUCAAAGUUGUUGGCUGCUACAGCUGGUGCUCGGAUUCCCAAUCUAUGACCAUGAAUGUUGUGGCAGUCAUAAGUGCCAAUGGGUCGAGCUGCUCGCUGUUGAUUUUGUGGAACGUUGUUGGCAUCAUUUUGAGGUAUGUCUCCCAUAUCAGUAUCCAAUCUCUGCAAGUGAGACUGUUGCUCUUCUUUUCUUCUCUUUCUAGCACACUCUCUCUCUAAAGCUCUGAUGUCUGCGGCUCUUGGAACUAGGUUUGAUGGACCCCUGCUCCUCAAGUUCAUACACCUGUAAAUUAAAGGGAGGUGAAGAAGGAGAAUCAGUAACUAAAAAAAAUAAAAAUGACUUAGUCUCAAGCAAAUGACUAAAUCUCAAUGUUCAAAUCUGCUUAGAAUUUGGCAACGGCGCCAAUUUGAUAUUAGGAGUUUUCAAGGCUCCUAAGACAAAUGUUGUAGUAUAAAUGAUUGUCGAACCAAUUCUAAGGGAUUUCAAGCACUGAGAAUGCAAGUACUUACUUAAUCUAAGUGCAACCGAUGAUUUUAAAGGUUUUCUAAACUAAUGAUUAUUACUAAUGCAGUUUCAGAAUAAUAAAAACGGUAAAUGAGUUGACUUUCUUAACUAAGGAAAAUGAGAACUCAUGGGCAUAGGAAUUAGACCUUGGGUGAUCAAGUUUCGAACUAAGGAUGGCAGACGAACAAUCAAACUAUCAACCUUAAGCUUAGACACGAUUCUAAACAAACUCUAUGUCUAGAUGAAUGUUCAUUUACUAACACAUUUCAAACAACAAAUGUCUUUGGUUGAAUAAUAUGGAAGCAAUCAUUACUAACAGGUCUAAGGCUAUCUUAGCACUUCUAACAACAAAUGUCUUUGGCAAAAUAUGCUAAAAGCUUAGAAGAGUUGUUUCAGGCAUUUCAUCGAACACCUUUUGGGUGGGAAAUGCCUAAAGAUCAACUUUUGAGAAGCUAACUCAGAAGAUGCAUUGUGAUUACUCUACUAGCAAGGUUUUGGAAUGAUCUACUCUAAAACAUCCUAGCUCUAACCUAAUCACCCUUAAUCUUCCUAACCCAUGAAUUUAAAUGGUGAUUACUCACUACUCUUCAUGAUUCCUCUUAAACCCAUUUUGGAUUUCAGAUUAAUCAUACAGAGGGAUACAACAACGAAUUGGAAAACAUAGAAUUGCAAAUACUAGAUGAACAAAGAUGAUUCAAGAGAUGAACUUUCCAAAGGUUUUUUCUUAGAACAAAGAUAAUCUGUCUGGUGGCUGCCAAAAGUACAUAAAACAUAGGUUUUCAGAAGUAAAAACGUGCAUAAUGAAAUGACCAAAAGACCCUUGAGUAGAAAUGAAUUCGAGCAAACAGAAGGCGCGCAGCAACCUCCAGUAGUCGCUCCGGGAGGUCGCUCCAGGCUUCGGGAGCGACCUGGAGGGGUCGCUGCGAGAUGUUGCUCUGGGUCGCUCUUCGCGAGCGACCUCACUGUGUCACUCCGGUCACGUUGCUCUGGGUGAUGGAGACGCGAGCGACAUCGGGGUGUCGCUCUGCCCAAGUCGCUCUGAAAGGGUGUCACAGCGACUUCACGAUGUCGCUCCGGCGAGGUCGCUCCCAUGCACUGCUCGUCCAAUGAUCACCUUUAUCACCUCUUUUGAGCUCCAAAUGCACCCAAAUAUCUCCAAGAACUCCAUGUGGUACUCCAAUACCUGAUAAGGACUCAUGUAUGCAAAAUGCAACCUAAACAUGGCUAAAUCCUAGUCUAUAUGAUCAAAAUGCACAUGGAUGAAUGGAUUAGACAUUGGAAAUAUGCAAGAUAUCAGCGAGGCACCUCACGUUUGCUGGAAGACUUCAGCUUAUAGGUUCUGUCUUGUAUGGCAUUACAAGUUUCUGGAUGUCUGCCUUCAGAUUGCCAAACCAGUGUAUCCAAGAGAUAAAUAGUAUCUGCGCGGCUUUCUUAUGGUCUGGACCAGUGCUCUCAACUCAUAAAUCAAAGAUAUCAUGGGUUGAUGUUUGUAAACCGAAAGAUGAAGGUGGGUUGGGGUUGCGCAAUCUCACUGAAGCAAAUAAUGUUUACUGCUUAAAGCUUAUUUGGAGACUGUUAUCUACUCGAUCUUCUCUGUGGGUGCGUUGGAUUUGGAAGUAUCUUAUGAGGAAGGUAUCGUUUUGGAGUGUUAAAGAGAGCAGCUUGUUGGGUUCUUGGAUGUGGAAGAAACCGUUGAAACUCAGGCCUUUAGCUUAUCAGUUAACUCAAGUGGAUAUUCAGAGUGGUUCAAACACUUACUUCUCGUGGGAUAAUUGGUCUUCUUUGGGAAAAUUGAUUGAGCUAACAGGGGAAGGUGGUUGUAUUGCUCUGGGUAUACCUCUGUACACUACGGUGGAAAGAGCUAUCCAGCUGUAUCGUUCAAGAUUGCAUAGGCCCCCGGUGUUUAGACAGAUAGAACAUGAGGUGAUGAGAUUGAAAAACAGAGGUCUUAACACUUUGGAGGAUGAUUUUUUGUGGAAGAGGGAAAAUGGGGAUAUUAAGCCGGGUUUUCUUACUUCUCACACAUGGAACAUUACAAAAAAUGUGUCGCCGAAGGUGGGGUGGAGCAAAGGGAUCUGGUUCUCAGAGGCUACUCCCAAGUUUGUUUUCAUAGCGUGGCUUGCUAUGCAUAAUAGGCUUGCCACAUGAGACAGGGUGUUAAAAUGGAAUCCUCAAGCCAUCACUACUUGCUGGCUUUGCAAGGUGGAGAAUGAAACCAGAGAUCAUUUGUUUUUUUAUUGUCUCUAUUCAAGAGAAGUGUGAAAGGGGGCCACUGGUAAUCUGGCGGGAAAUGGUGGUUGGAGUUGGAAUCAGGUGAUUCAAGUGGUGGUGAAUGGUUUGCAGGAGAGAGUUGCUACUUUCCUUUUGAGAUAUAGCUUUCAAGCAGUGAUCUAUGGCCUUUGGCAAGAGAGGAAUGUUAGAAGAGUGGGAGAAUCUUCCCAGCCAGCAAAUUGUUUGACUGUUCGGAUGGAUAAGCUGGUGAGGAAUAGAAUCACCUCCCUUUGGAAGAAGAAUGACAGAAAAUAUGAGAGAGUAAUGGAAGUGUGGAUGGGGAGGAGCUGAGUUUUCUUCUCUUUUUGAGUUUUAUUAGAUUGAGUUAUGUUUUGUUCUCAGUCUUAAAAAAUUAGCAGUAUCUCUGUACAAAAGUUUUUUUUGAUAUGAAUAAAUUUAAAAUUUUUUCAAAAAAAAAAAACAGAUAGUACCAGGACUGGCUUUACUGGUUGCAAGCAAACUCGCUUGACAAAGACACCACGUAAAGAGCUUCCACAAGAGAGGAUCUUCUUCAAGCAUGUGCAGCCAUUGUGGUCGAAUUUGAGGACCCAACAGACUGACUACCAAAUUGUCGUUGCCUCACUGCUGGCUGCUUUCCAGAGCACACAUAUCUUUCCAGUGUGACCCCCCGUAAGUUCCUACAACAUGUGAAUGUGACCUUAUGGAUAUCAUUGUUACUUGUUACAAUUAUCUGUCCAUCCAUCCCUUCCGCUGUCAAUGAUGUGAUUGUUCCAUGUCGAUGAUCCAACUCUAGACUGAUGGUGACACACAGUUGGACACCCUCCAUUCAUGGUCCAUCCUUAGAUUUUGGAAAGUAAAAAUAUUUUAGUAUAACUUUAUUAGUUUUUUUUAUAACUUAUAGAUCACUAAAUUUAUGUAUAUUGACACUUUUAAAUUUGAUGUCAAAGAGAAUGUUUUAUCCGGCUGUGCUAAAGUCCGGUUGUGCCUCAAAUGUUCUAAGUUAACGGUUGGAUGCAGAGUUCCAUAGCUGGAGUUGAGAGUUGCUGAGCCCAGUUGCAACAUGACAAGCAUCAAGUACCCCAGGUGAUGCACAGAUACUGUCUCUUCACCAAUGCUCAGAAGAACAAUAACAAGAACAAGGUUACACAAGUAGACACAAAGAAGAAGCCAAAGACUGAUUUUUUUGUGUGUGUGUAGACGAUGAGAACAGUGCCUUUAAGACAAAACUUUUCGAAAAUUUCAAGACUUUACCUAAGUUACCGUUAGUGAAAGCGAGUUUAUUGAGCUUGGAGUGGUACAAUGAUGCAGAGGAGCUUGAGGAGAAGGUUUUAGGCGGAGGAGGUAACUGGACGAACAAGGAGGGGACGUGGAGAAGAAGAGGGAGUUAGGACUUAGGACUGGAGUGGAGAUAUGAAGAUGGCGAUCCCUGCUCUGAGAAGUCAGGGACGGUGGCUGAUAAAAUCACUUCCUUGGAGAUCAUGGUUUGAGAGAAUCCCAUUGCUAACAUUAGGUCUCUUGAUUUCUUAUUGGGUAUGUCUAGGUUUACUUUAGUUGAUGUUGAUGUCUCAUUUGUGUUAUCUACUUGCUGACUUGGUUGGAGAUGUUCAUUGCAGGAAGGAAUGGUGACCUCAAAGGUAUAUCCUUUACCAGCUUAAAUACCACUCUGCACCCCCUAGCUUCUUUACUAAGCGCACUUCUCCAGGUUUUGAGUCUUGAUGAGUUAUAACUUAUAAUAUAUAUUCAUAUUAGACAUUUGAGUAAUAUAAAAUGUGGUUCUGCCUACUGGAUGAUGCAAGAUUUCAUGGUAGUUGUCUGGUUGCUAAUAGAUUUGAUGGGUUAUUUUGCACGGUACCAUGCAUCGUCAGAAUCUUUACCAUAGUAAUUGUUUUUUGUUGUUGGUUUCAGACUAUAUAUUUCAUGUUGACAAGCAAAUCAGAACAGGAGCGAAACUUGCUUGUGUCAAUUAUUCUUCGGAAUAUUUAUAGUGCUAAUUACUUAGAAUGACUCUAAUCAUGUUACUAAAUACUUGAAUGACUCUUAUAAUUUUGUAAAUACUAGAAUAAAUGGCAACACAUACAAAAUUACUAAAAUACCACCCUUCUAAACACAUUUACUUAUUAUAAUUUAUUAAUAAAAAUAUAUACAUUAUAAUUAAAAAAAAGGAAACAAAGAAACCUGUCGGAUCUUCUUCCUCACGACACUCUUCCAUCUUCAUCUCCUACCAAUCUCCGACGCCACCAUCUCCAUCUCCACUCAACCUUCAUCACUUCUAUCUCCACCGUCAAUCUUCUUCAUCUCCGUUUUCCUCUACAUCUCCAUCGAGUUCGUCUCUGUCAUCGGUGAGACAAAAUAACUCGAUUUCAAAUCGGUCCUCCACCAUAAAUCGAGUUACUUGAUUCUGUAAGACAUAAUCUAUGCUAUUUGAAGUUCCUUUUUGCAUAGAUUGAUUGAUUGCAUGUUAAAUUGUAAAACCCUAAUUCCCAAUUCAAAUCCCUAAUUCCCAAUUCGAAAUCCCUAAUUUCCAAUUUCGAUUUAUGAUUUGGGUUUUCUCUGUUUCUCUAUAAACUAUUGUAUGUUAGUACGAAAUCUAUGUUAAUCGACUGAAAAUUAAAACAUCAAUUGUGCUACUCGAUUUCUCUAUUUCUCAUUUCUUUGUUUCCAAUUUUUUUUUACAAGUAUGGCUUCUUCUUCGGGUUCAAAGUAUCCUCGUCGUCUCUAUGAUGUUGGCAAAACCCCAAUUCAGAGUAGGAGCAUGAACCAUAGUUGUUUCUUGGCCACCGUUCAAACCGUGCUAGAAUCUGUUGGGGAUGAUGUUGUGUCUGACUUGAGGGAAUCAGCUGUUGGAGUGAUUGUGAAGCUGAAAGAGUUGGAAUACACUUGGUCUGCCUCUUGCGUUCACCAUUUUCUUGUCAAUCAAUUGGCCAUAGAGAGCAGUCAUGAGAUGUGGUCGUUGAUAGAUUGUAUGCCGUAGCGGUUCUCUCUAUAUGAGUUUGAAGAAAUUACAGGACUAAAUUGUGAUCCUUUCGAUAAGGAUGAGAUUUGGGAUGUGGAGCAUGAAAGUUUUUGGCUGGACAUGAAAGUUCCGACUUCAGAAGGUCCUACAUUGAAAGAGCUACAAGCCGUUUUAACUAUUUGCAGAAAUUGGUCUCGAGAGAAGCGAUUGAUGGUAGGUUUGUUGUGUCUGCUAUGCAUUGGGAUUUUUGGAAUUUCGAGCAACAGUAGAAUCCCUUUGCAAUGUGCUAAAAGGGUGAUGGACCCAGAAGCUUUCCAGAGAUAUCCAUGGGGUCGUGUAGGAUUUAGCAGCCUUCUUGAGUCUAUUAAAGUACUCACAUAUGAAAGAAAGAAGAGUUACACACUUCAUGGUUGUGUUCAUGUUCUCUUAAUAUGGAUUUUUGAGUCUGUCCCUGGUCUAGGAGAGAAAUUUGGGAACCGGAUAGAAGGAGCUGAUGUCCCUCUUCUGUCAUGGCUGGGGUCUCGUCCGAGUAUCAACUUCUCAGAUUUCUGUGCCCAAGAAAAGCGAAAUCAUGGGAAGUUAUGAAGAGAAGUAUUAUUCUUUUAGGGAAGUUGACUAGAAUGACUCUAAUUAGUUUAAAAAUGACUAGAAUAACUCUUAAAAAAUUAAAAUUACUAACAAUAUUUUUUGGUCAAAAAUACCCCUGAUUAUAGUUAUGAUCAAAAAGUAAUAUUACAAAAAUGCCAUUUAAAAUUAUUAAAAAAAAUUCGACGGCAGAUUUAUUUAACGAAAAACAAAUCUAUUUGAAGAUAAAUCUGUUAAAUUAAACUGUUGUAAAAUUUAUAUCUGCCAUGUAUUUGAUGGCCGAGUUUUCUGUUACAGCAGAUGUUUUUAAGCUAGCAGAUUUGUGUGGCCAAUUUAAUAAUGUUGAAAGAUUUAUCUUUAAAAGUCUGUCAUAUGUAGUAACCGAUUUGUUGAAGUUAUCAGUUUUUUUUUGGAAGUAGUCAGAGUUUUUCAACAGAUAUGUUUAUCGGUAAUAGACAUAAAUUUUCAUGAAAGAUAUGUGUACCCGAUUUAAAUUUGCGAUCGACUUUUGUAUACACUUGGUGGCAGAUUUGUUUUAUUACUGUCUUUGGCGGCAGACUUUUGUGAUAAAUUUUAAUUACUAGAGUGGCUAAAUUCAAAUAAUUUUGAUUUAAUCCCUUAAUCUAAAUUGGAUCCGGGUUUAGAUUGAUUGAAUUUGGUUUUAAUUAAUUUUGAAAUUUGGUUUACAAUUAUUUUCGGUUUAAAUUAAGUUAUACCAAUUUAGAACCUUGGUUUAAACUAAUAGAUUAGGAGAUCUCAAUUUAAUUAGGUUUUACGUUCUUUGUCGUCUUCUUCUUGUUACCUUUCACUGAACAAAACGUGGUCCACUUUCAUGGUGAUUUACAAUUGCAUCUUUUAAUUCAUAUUGACGGAGUGAAUUAAGGAAAACAUAAUUCUCGUAUGUGGGAAGUGGAAAGUUGAGAAAACGAAGUGGUUAUUUGAAGUAGAUAAUGAGCGAGGGAACAUAUUGGUUGCUGCUAAUGAAGACACUCGAUUUGAAGAUUUUGUGAAAAUCAUACUUGAGGAUUACGGAGUAGAUUUUGCAGAAAACGAUUUGGACCUGAGGUACGUUUUGCCGAAGCGGAAUCUACAAAAACAAAGCAACGAUACACCACCUGUGAAAAUAGGAAAUGAUCGGCAGUUUCAUGCAUUCUUGGGUCUUUGCAAAGUUGAGAAUGUUCGAGUAUGUGUAGAGUUUAAAGUGAAAAAAAAUGUUGGGGAAAGAGCUGUCGAAGAUCAGAAACAACCCUUAGAAAGAGAUGACCUGUUGUGUGAAGACGAAGAAGAUACAGACGAAGAGGGUGAUCGAUUUGAUUACUGUGAUGAUUCUGAUGGAGCGACAUCCGAUGAUGAAAACUUUUCUACAUACGGUCUUCCACCAAACCAUGUAGAAGAAGCCCCGGGAUCUUGCACCAAUAUGAUUUAUGCUAGACUCCUUAAAACACAAGAAAGAGAGUCUCCAAAGAGUAUUGAUGAUUUGCGCUCAUUCAAAUUUGCAGUGGGGCAAAGUUACGAUUCAAAAGAUGAAUUGGAGACACGUCUGAAGAUACAUUCGGUUGUCAAACGUUUCGAUUUUGAUGUGGAUAGAUCUACAACAAAAUUGUUUCGUGUUAAAUGUUGGUUAGCAGGUUGUACGUGGAAUCUUAGAGCUUCCCCAGUAGGUGAGUCUUCAAAGUUUACUAUCCGAGUAUAUGUAGAUGAACAUACCUGCUCUGUAACAGAACGUUCAUCUCGUUCCCGACAAGCUACCCCUGAAAUUCUUGGACUCUUGUGCAAAGACUAUGUUGGUGGGGUUGAAUCAUCUGUUUUGCCACGUCAUGUUUCUAGUGCUAUGAAUUUGAGCUUUGGAACCAAGGUCAACUACAUUUACGCAUCUAAUAUAGUUUCUUGUCUGACCUUUACUUCUUUUUAAAUGGGCUACUGUUUUUGUAUAAUGCAGAUGGAUUACUGGAAAGCUCGCCGUACACUUAUAGCUGCUAGAGAUCUCGUAAUGGGUUCUUCACAGAAUGGAUAUCAGGAAUUACCUACUUACCUGCAGAUGAUUAGAAUGUCAAAUCGAGGAACUUUAACUCAACUGGAAGUUGAUACAAAAAACAGAUUUAAAUACUUAUUCCUUGCAUUCGGCGCUAGCAUUGCUGGCUUUCCAUUUAUGAGGAAGAUUGUGGUGGUUGAUGGAACGUUUUUGCAAGGAAAAUACAAAGGAACGCUUCUGAUUGCAACAUCACAGGAUGAUAAAUUUCAAAUCUUUCCAAUUGCGUUUGCUGUGGUUGACACAGAGAAUGAUGAAUCAUGGACAUGGUUUUUCCGCCAACUCAGCCGUGUGAUACCAGAUGAUGCAGGAUUGGCGUUAAUCUCUGACAGGCACAAGUCAAUAGAGAAAGCUAUUGCAGUGGUAUAUCCAUUGGCAAGCAGGGGAAUUUGCACAUACCACUUAUAUAAAAACAUCUUGUUACGAUUCAGAGGGCGUGAUUUGUUUGGAUUGGUCAAAAGAGCCGCCUACUGUUUUAGGUUAACUGAAUUUCAAGCAACUUUCGAGAGAAUCGAAGAGUUAAAUCCCGAUUUGCAUGCUUGCUUGGAACGUGCUGAUGUACGUAAGUGGGCACGAGCUCAUUUUAGAGGUGAUAGAUAUAACCUCCUUACAAGUAACAUACCUGAAUCCAUAAACAAAGCUUUGUCGGGUGCUUGAAGCUUGCCCAUUGUUCACCUUUUGGAGUCAAUCCGAUUAAUGAUGACACGCUGGUUUGCAACAAGAAAAUAUGAUGCUGAGUUGAUGAAGACCUCUCUGACGCGUGGUGUAGAGAAGGUGUUGGAGGUAAUAUAUUUGAAUCAGGUUAUUUGUUUCGUUAGACUUUUUGCUAAUAUUUAAAGCUGUAACAUUUGCAGGGCAAGAUACCUACUUCUAAUGUACUAAAGGUUCAAGCAAUAGACAGCCAUCAAUCACAAGUGACAGGAGUCUCAUCAUUACAUGUUGUAAAUCUGAUUGAGAAGACAUGUUCUUGCCGUAGAUUUGAUUUGGAGAAGCUACCAUGUGCCCAUGCUAUAGCCGCCGCGGAAGCUAGAAAGAUAUCACGUAUAUCACUUUGUCACCGUUACUAUCGGAAGUAGUACCUUUACAAUGCAUAUUCCAAUGCAGUUAUGCCGAAAGAUGAUGCUGUUCCAAUUCCAGAUGAAGUUGCAAAGAAAAUCUGUUUACCACCUGAUGUCCGUCAACCACCAGGAAGACCAAAAAAAUCAAGACAUAAAUCUAUUUUGGAGAAAGUUGCAGAUAAAAAGCGGCCAAGGAAGGAACACACAUGUAGAAUUUGUAACCAGACGGGACAUAAUUCUAAAACAUGUCCUUUUAAGUGAUUUUUUUGAUCUAGGUUAGUGUUACAUUCAGUGGUAUAAUCUUUGGUGUUGCAUUACUUUUGCACUUUGAUAUUUGGUGUUGCAUUACUUUUGCACUUUGAUCUUUGGUGCUGCAUUACUUUUCAUUUACUUUGAUGCUUUAAUCAUUAGUUUCUGAUUGCCAUAAUAUUAUGCAAGGCUUAUCAAGUUAUACACAAUACGAUAAAAACUGAAAUACUACAAGUACUAAAAUAAAAUCAUCCAAGUUAUACAUAAUACGACAAGUACUGAGAUAUUACAAAAAAAAUCAUCCAAGUUAUACAUAAUACGACAACAGACAGCAACAUUUAAAUCGAUCCUUCAACAUCAACCUCUUCAUAGAUCUCAGCUGCCAACUUCAUUCUUUGUGCUGGUAUGAUCUCAUCACUUAAGCCAUGAAAAUUACAUCCAAUAGCCAGACAUUCAAUGUACUUCAAAGAGUACACACCACAAUCUCCUGGGUCAUCAUUCCGGGGAACAUUCUUGGGCCUACGUAAGGCAAACUGCUGCUCAGACUUCUUUCCUUUUGUUGGAGGCAGCAUCUUGUUAAGAAUCAAAGGAAUCAUUUUCGUGAAUGGCCUGCACUCUUCCUGCAGGUCCUUAUGAGCCUUCAUCACAUCCGGAAUACAAUCAUAUACAUAGAUUGUUGACUUAAGUAAAUCAAUGUGUAGAGCAACCCAGUGGUUUCCAUUAAUAUUGUGGCAGAGGAACAAGCUGUCAACAUCUUUAAACCACUUCUUACCAGUCACAAACUGCUCCGGGUAUUCUCCGUUGAAAGCCUUGCUGUACAUAUCUGACAACUCAAUUGAGUUCUUGUCCUGUUUCUCAAAGUCAUUAACCCAUGAUUUCACAAACCACCGAUCUAGAAAUGCAAUUCGACGGGAGGCAUAUGGAGAUGAGGAUUGCAUGGAACGUCUGUGAAAUAUGAGCAUUGCUGCGGCAAGGUGCUGUAAAAAUAAAAACAACUACUUAAAAUCUGUAAGCCAUUACUCUAGUGAAGCCCCAUAAUCAGAUUAGAAAAACUCACUGAAUCACACAGCCAGCCGUAAUUUUCAGUUGGCCAGACAUUUCUUGGCACCAUUAUCUUUAAGUAAAACUUAGCGCUAAACUCACCAUAGCCAGAUUCCUCUUGGGCCCUAAAAUGAAAAAAAAACCAGAGCAAUCAAGCACCAUAUAUAUGAAGAUAAGAUGGAAGAUAAUAAGCAAGAGAAGACACUUACAAAUCUCGCUUAAUGAAGUCCAUAACUUUCGUCAAUUUCUGUGACUCGACCUUAGCAAAUGGGUCAUAAGACACAGUAGAUGGAGUGACACCAGUGAUUAUACGCUUGACAGUUGAAUUCCCUACGAACGGCCAUUGCUGAGUCUUCGUCAACUGGGGUUUUCUUCUACGUGUAGGCUCCUCCAAAAUUGAAGUAAGUGCUUCAAUCGCUUGUCUACACUUUUCACUCUUUUCCCACUGCAAAUGCUGCUGCCAGUCUUUUGAAGAGAUGGAUAUGUCAUUCAGUUCUGGGAUGACAAUUGCUUUUUCCUUCUUCACUUUCUUUAGUGGCACUUCAUCUUUCUUUCCUUUCUUAUUCACAUCAAUGGUCUUACACACCUUCGUCUCCAUAGCCUUACUUGUUUUUUUCUCCUUCUUAACAACACACUAAAUUGGUAAACCAUCUUGUGAAUUUAUCUUCUUCUCAAUCAUCCAUGACUGUGUAGUAGAAUACAAGUGUUAGUGAUAUUAAUUAAGAAAAUAACAAACAAGAACAGUCUCAGAAAACAUACCAAGGCAUUGCUAGAAUCAUCAUCCUCUUCUUGCGCAAUGGAGUUGUGAUCAUUGGAGUUAGCCACAUCAGUAUGAAUGUUUACAUAAGCCUUCUCUUUCAGAUUCUUUAUGUCUUCCACCAACAUGGCAAUCUUCUCCAUCAUCUCUUUCUCAUAUAAACCGACCUUAGCAUCCACUUUAGCUUGUAUGGUUGCAUCCAGUUUCUCGCUAACCUUGUCAGCUACAUUAACAUCUAUUCCAUCUAUUUUUGCACUAAGGUUCUUAACCGAUUCAACCAACCCAAGUAUAGCGAUGUUGUGAGCUACAACCUAUAAGCAAUUCACAGACCAAAAGAACAGUUCAGCCACAUGUCAAAAAUAACAGGUUUUGAUACUUAUUCAUUCAGAUAGCUACAUACCAUAUCUGAUGCGUGACAACCAUCAACAUGCUCUUUGUCCUUCUUUCGCUUAGUAGAAGUACCAACAUCAAUGGUAUCUGGAACAACAGGUGGAUCCACAAUAUUUUUUCUCUUCUUGGAUUUGGUAGCAGCCAUUACUUCCCAAAACUUUUCAUCAAGCUGACCUUUGAGGAUGUCCUGAAUCAUGUUAUCUAGCUCAGUAGACACUUUAUGAUCUUCCCACUUCGGAUAUCUAUCCUCUAUUGCUUUGACAACCAUGUGCCUCACACGAAUCAAAUUAAAAUUUAACUUUUUACUAAUCAUGUAUAUUAUUACACAGAUUCGUGAAAAGUAUUGGGAAGUAAUGGCUGCUACCAAAUCCAAGAAGAGAAAAAAUAUUGUGGAUCCACCUGUUGUUCCAGAUACCAUUGAUGUUGGUACUUCUACUAAGCGAAAGAAGGACAAAGAGCAUGUUGAUGGUUGUCACGCAUCAGAUAUGGUAUGUAGCUAUCUGAAUGAAUAAGUAUCAAAACCUGUUAUUUUUGACAUGUGGCUGAACUGUUCUUUUGGUCUGUGAAUUGCUUAUAGGUUGUAGCUCACAACAUCUCUUGCGCAAUGGAGUUGUGAUCAUUGGAGUUAGCCACAUCAGUAUGAAUGUUUACAUAAGCCUUCUCUUUCAGAUUCUUUAUGUCUUCCACCAACAUGGCAAUCUUCUCCAUUAUCUCUUUCUCAUAUAAACCGACCUUAGCAUCCACUUUAGCUUGUAUGGUUGCGUCCAGUUUCUCGCUAACCUUGUCAGCUACAUUAACAUCUAUUCCAUCUAUUUUUGCACUAAGGUUCUUAACCGAUUCAACCAACCUCCGGGUAUUCUCCAUUGAAAGCCUUGCUGUACAUAUCUGACAACUCAAUUGAGUUCUUGUCCUGUUUCUCAAAGUCAUUAACCCAUGAUUUCACAAACCACCGAUCUAGAAAUGCAAUUCGACGGGAGGCAUAUGGAGAUGAGGAUUGCAUGGAACGUCUGUGAAACAUGAGCAUUGCUGCGGCAAGGUGCUGUAAAAAUAAAAACAACUACUUAAAAUCUGUAAGCCAUUACUCUAGUGAAGCCACAUAAUCAGAUUAUAAAAACUCACUGAAUCACACAGCCAGCCGUAAUUUUCAGUUGGCCAGACAUUUCUUGGCACCAUUAUCUUUAAGUAAAACUUAGCGCUAAACUCACCAUAGCCAGAUUCCUCUUGGGCCCUAAAAUGAAAAAAAACAAAGCAAUCAAGCACCAUAUAUAUGAAGAUAAGAUGGAAGAUAAUAAGCAAGAGAAGACACUUACAAAUCUCGCUUAAUGAAGUCCAUAACUUUCGUCAAUUUCUGUGACUCGACCUUAGCAAAUGGGUCAUAAGACACAGUAGAUGGAGUGACACCAGUGAUUAUACGCUUGACAGUUGAAUUCCCUACGAACGGCCAUUGCUGAGUCUUCGUCAACUGGGGUUUUCUUCUACGUGUAGGCUCCACCAAAAUUGAAGUAAGUGCUUCGAUCGCUUCUCUACACUUUUCACUCUUUUCCCACUGCAAAUGCUGCUGCCAGUCUUUUGAAGAGAUGGAUAUGUCAUUCAGUUCUGGGAUCACAAUUGCUUUUUCCUUCUUCACUUUCUUUAGUGGCACUUCAUCUUUCUUUCCUUUCUUAUUCACAUCAAUGGUCUUACACACCUUCGUCUCCAUAGCCUUACUUGUUUUUUUCUCCUUCUUAACAACACACUAAAUUGGUAAACCAUCUUGUGAAUUUAUCUUCUUCUCAAUCAUCCAUGACUGUGUAGUAGAAUACAAGUGUUAGUGAUAUUAAUUAAGAAAAUAACAAACAAGAACAGUCUCAGAAAACAUACCAAGGCAUUGCUAGAAUCAUCAUCCUCUUCUUGCGCAAUGGAGUUGUGAUCAUUGGAGUUAGCCACAUCAGUAUGAAUGUUUACAUAAGCCUUCUCUUUCAGAUUCUUUAUGUCUUCCACCAACAUGGCAAUCUUCUCCAUUAUCUCUUUCUCAUAUAAACCGACCUUAGCAUCCACUUUAGCUUGUAUGGUUGCGUCCAGUUUCUCGCUAACCUUGUCAGCUACAUUAACAUCUAUUCUAUCUAUUUUUGCACUAAGGUUCUUAACCGAUUCAACCAACCCAAGUAUAGCGAUGUUGUGAGCUACAACCUAUAAGCAAUUCACAGACCAAAAGAACAGUUCAGCCACAUGUCAAAAAUAACAGGUUUUGAUACUUAUUCAUUCAGAUAGCUACAUACCAUAUCUGAUGCGUGACAACCAUCAACAUGCUCUUUGUCCUUCUUUCGCUUAGUAGAAGUACCAACAUCAAUGGUAUCUGGAACAACAGGUGGAUCCACAAUAUUUUUUCUCUUCUUGGAUUUGGUAGCAGCCAUUACUUCCCAAUACUUUUCACGAAUCUGUGUAAUAAUAUACAUGAUUAGUAAAAAGUUAAAUUUUAAUUUGAUUCGUGUGAGGCACAUGGUUGUCAAGGCAAUAGAGGAUAGAUAUCCGAAGUGGGAAGAUCAUAAAGUGUCUACUGAGCUAGAUAACAUGAUUCAGGACAUCCUCAAAGGUCAGCUUGAUGAAAAGUUUUGGGAAGUAAUGGCUGCUACCAAAUCCAGGAAGAGAAAAAAUAUUGUGGAUCCACCUGUUGUUCCAGAUACCAUUGAUGUUGGUACUUCUACUAAGCGAAAGAAGGACAAAGAGCAUGUUGAUUGUUGUCACGCAUCAGAUAUGGUAUGUAGCUAUCUGAAUGAAUAAUUAUCAAAACCUGUUAUUUUUGACAUGUGGCUGAACUGUUCUUUUGGUCUGUGAAUUGCUUAUAGGUUGUAGCUCACAACAUUGCUAUACUUGGGUUGGUUGAAUCGGUUAAGAACCUUAGUGCAAAAAUAGAUGGAAUAGAUGUUAAUGUAGCUGACAAGGUUAGCGAGAAACUGGAUGCAACCAUACAAGCUAAAGUGGAUGCUAAGGUCGGUUUAUAUGAGAAAGAGAUGAUGGAGAAGAUUACCAUGUUGGUGGAAGACAUAAAGAAUCUGAAAGAGAAGGCUUAUGUAAACAUUCAUACUGAUGUGGCUAACUCCAAUGAUCACAACUCCAUUGCGCAAGAAGAGGAUGAUGAUUCUAGCAAUGCCUUGGUAUGUUUUCUGAGACUGUUCUUGUUUGUUAUUUUCUUAAUUAAUAUCACUAACACUUGUAUUCUACUACACAGUCAUGGAUGAUUGAGAAGAAGAUAAAUUCACAAGAUGGUUUACCAAUUCAGUGUGUUGUUAAGAAGGAGAAAAAAACAAGUAAGGCUAUGGAGACGAAGGUGUGUAAGACCAUUGAUGUGAAAAAGAAAGGAAAGAAAGAUGAAGUGCCACUGAAGAAAGUGAAGAAGGAAAAAGCAAUUGUCAUCCCAGAACUGAAUGACAUAUCCAUCUCUUCAAAAGACUCGCAGCAGCAUUUGCAGUGGGAAAAGAGUGAAAAGUGUAGAGAAGCGAUCGAAGCACUUACUUCAAUUUUGGAGGAGCCUACACGUAGAAGAAAACCACAGUUGACGAAGACUCAGCAAUGGCCGUUCGUAGGGAAUUCAACUGUCAAGCGUAUAAUCACUGGUGUCACUCCAUCUACUGUGUCUUAUGACCCAUUUGCUAAGGUCGAGUCACAGAAAUUGACGAAAGUUAUGGACUUCAUUAAGCGAGAUUUGUAAGUGUCUUCUCUUGCUUAUUAUCUUCCAUCUUAUCUUCAUAUACAUGGUGCUUGAUUGCUCUGUUUUUUUUUUCAUUUUAGGGCCCAAGAGGAAUCUGGCUAUGGUGAGUUUAGAGCUAAGUUUUACUUAAAGAUAAUGGUGCCAAGAAAUGUCUGGCCAACUGAAAAUUACGGCUGGCUGUGUGAUUCAGUGAGUUUUUCUAAUCUGAUUAUGUGGCUUCACUAGAGAAAUGGCUUACAGAUUUUAAGUAGUUGUUUUUAUUUUUACAGCACCUUGCCGCAGCAAUGCUCUUGUUUCACAGAAGUUCCAUGCAAUCCUCAUCUCCAUAUGCCUCCCGUCGAAUUGCAUUUCUAGAUCGGUGGUUUGUGAAAUCAUGGGUUAAUGACUUUGAGAAACAGGACAAGAACUCAAUUGAGUUGUCAGAUAUGUACAUCGAGGCUUUCAACGGAGAAUACUCGGAGCAGUUUGUGACUGGUAAGAAGUGGUUUAAAGAUGUUGACAGCUUGUUCCUCUGCCACAAUAUUUAUGGAAACCACUGGGUUGCUCUACACAUUGAUUUACUUAAGUCAACAAUCUAUGUAUAUGAUUGUAUUCCGGAUGUGGUGAAGGCUCAUAAGGACCUGCAGGAAGAGUGCAGGCCAUUCACGAAAAUGAUUCUUUUGAUUCUUACACUACAAGAAAACAUAAUCUCAACGAGGGCGGUUUUCCUCGUGAGUUCGUCGUAAAAGAGGCUUUACGAUGGAUUAGCGAGGAACCACGUUUGCUCGUUACUCAUCUAUCGUAACACAUAUUUCCUCGCUAAUUCGUCGUAACGUAGCGAGGAAUAUAUUUCGUCGUAAAGACGAAGUAGAUCAUUUCGUCGUAAAGACCACGUCAACAUUCCACGUAAGGAGGUCGCUAUAUUUCCUCGUAAAUACCUCGAAACAAGUUCCUCGUAAACUACACGUAAAUACCUUGAAAGUGUUUCCUCGUAAAAUACUCGUUUAUCUUUCCUCGUUAUUUCCUCGUAAAUGUUUUCUCGUAAAAUACUCGUUUAUAAUUUGUCGUCAUUUCCUCGUAAGGUUUCCACGUAAAUAGGUCGUACCUUAGUUACGAAUUUACUUCGUUUUUAUUAUUUUACAGAAUUUAAAAAUAUAAUUAAAAAAUAAUUAAAAUUAUUUAAUUUAUUAAUAAAAUUAAAAUUUAAAAUAAAAAUAAAUCAAUAUGAAAAUAUUUUAUAUAUAAAUAAGUUUUGAAUUUAUAAUACAACAACCGGAAAAAAAAACUAAGGGUCGUUCAUCGCCUGGUAGAAUUCAUCACUCCUCCUCGUAACAUCCGCCUCGUUAUGUACGUCGGAUGACUCGCCUCGAAUGGGAUGUUGUUGUCGCAUGUUCCUCAACAUGGACUCCCAUUCCGGAUUUGUGGCUGCUAUAACGUCCAAGAAGCCCUCGACUCCACCCAUACGAGAUUUUGUCGCGGCCAACUCGUUACGCAGCUGAGCGGACUCUCUACGUUGCUCAGUGACUUCAUCAUCCCGUCGCUGACCAUAAGACGAUGUCACUCUCGGAACAUCGUUGACGGAACCAAUCCCCAACGUCCGUCCCUUUUUUUUAGGGACAACCUUAAAAACAAAAAAUAAAUAUUGUUAGUAAAAAUUUAAAGUUAUAUUAAAUGAAUAAUAAAAAACUAAAAUUUUUGAAAAUUUACCUCCUCGUAAAUCUUAUCCACUUCAAGUGUGGAUAAGGUGACGGGUAAUCCGUCGGUAGACUGCUGGGUCAGCUGAGUCUGGCGGUUUUCAACCCGAGCAACCACGUCGUUGUAGAUUUGCUCGGACUUGCCAUCUACAAAUACGCCCGCCUUGUUCUUGUGGGUCCUCUCGUAAAGUUCCAUAAGAGACGGGAGAUGUCCCGUCUCUUUGGCCUAAAAAACAUUUAAGAAAGUUAGAAUAAAAAUAUAUAUAUUCAAAAAUUUAUUUAAUAAAACAUUUAAUUACCAUUUCCAAACGGACACCGGCGUGGGAUUUUUGGCCCGUAGUGUGAAGCAUCGGCCCGUUUCCGUGCUCAUCGACCGUGUUACGGGAGUUAGAGCAAGCCUGGGCGAUUCUAAUGGAAUCAGGAAGGCGCCAAUAACGGAUGAGGCCAUCCCACACAUCCGUGGUGAGCUCAGCGGGUUUGCCACGCUCAUACCCCUUCACUAUCCAGUCACCCUUCCAGUUGGAGACCGUGUCCAACAAGCGAACUUUCGCAUUCGCGUUAAACUUCUUCCUCACUUUCUCAGUGAUCCCCAAUGCCCAAUUAUAUUUUUGCUGUUGGAAAAAAUAAAUUAACAAUUAGAUUUUUAGAAAGUAUAUAUAUAAAUCAUGAAAAAAUUAAAGUAUAUAUAAUUAAUUAAUAGAAACUUACAGCGUAAAUUUUGAACCACGUCUUUCUGACGUAGUGAGACGUCUUACUCCAGUUCGGAUGUGCCAUGGAGAAGUAACCUUUGAUCGUGUCGGUUACGUCCGAUGCAAGACAUCCGUCAACCCCCCACCUAGAAAAUACAAAUUUAAAAUAUAAAUUAUUUUUUAAUGUUAUAAAAGAAUUUUAAACGAAUUAAAAAAAAAUUAAUGCAACAUACCACAAAGUUCCGUCCGGUCGGUCGGGGUCGAUGACUGGUAAACCUUCUCUGCCUGGCAGACGGAGAAUGUCCUCUACAGUGUACUGCAAGUAAGGAGCACUCGGAGGCACCAUCAAAUCGGGAUGAAUAUCGGCGGCCAUCAGAGGUGCCAUCGGAGGAGGCACAGGAGGAGGCAUCGUCGGAUGAGCCAUCGGGGAAGGCACAUGAGGAGCCGAUGGUGCACAAGAAGAAAUAGACCCAAAGACUCUCUGAGUGUACUGAGUCUCGGGCACAGUCUCCUGACCCGAAGAACCGGGGGCUGAAGAAGAGGCCGGGUCUAAACGACUACCCGGCUCAGCGAAGAUCUCUCUGUAAUGGGCAGUAAGUCUUCCUUUUCGAACCUGAGAAAAAAAAUAAAUUUUUAAAAUUAACAUCAACACUAUAUUUCCCAACAUUAUCCACCUAAUGAAAACUAAAUAACAUAAAAUCCGUAAACUUAUCUAAAUUCCCUAUACUAACCACUUAAUCUAUCCUAAACUAACCAAAUUAGAGAGGAAUUAGAGAGACUUACCAUUGCUACGAAAUGGAGAGGAGGUGGAGAGGAAGUAGAGAGGAAAGAAAGAGUGAGCGCUCGGGGGUAUAUAUAAGAUUACAUAUCGUCGCAAAUUCGUCGUAAGUUUACGACGAAAUAGCGAGCAGUUACAAAGGCCCGUGUUUUUCAAUACGAGGAAAUUACGAGGAAUCGCAAAGGGCCGUGUUUUUAUAUACGAGGUAUUAACGACGAUUUUGCUUACGUGGAAUUAACGAGCCUUGCUUUCCUAUAAAUAUACCCACAACUUUCAUUCUCAAACCACACACAAACUCCCAAAUCACACCCUAUCUGAAAUAACAUUCCUCAGUAAAAUCCUAUUCAAAUUAUAAAUAUUUGAAAAAAAUAGGAAAAUGAUAAAAUAUUAGAAUUCAUGCGGGCAAGACUUACGUAUUAUAAUUGCUGGAAGUCUUGCCACAUGUUAAUCUGAUAUUUUUAUCCUUUUCCCUUUUUUUCUAGUUUUUACACUACGAGGUAUUUACGACGAUUUCUGCUUACGUGGAAUUAACGAGUGUUAUGUUUAAAUCCUUUUACAUGGUAUUUAAGACGAUUUCAUCCAACGUGGUCUUUACGACGAUUUCUAUUUACGUGGAAUUAACGAGUGUUUUGUUUAAAUCCUUUUACGUGGUGUUUACGACGAUUUCUGCUUACGUGGAAUUAACGAGUAUUAUGUUUAAAUCCCUAAAAUCCGAAACCUCCAAACCCCAAACCCCAAACCCCAAACCCCAAACCUGAAAUCCCAAACCCCAAACCUCAAACCCCGAAACCUCCAAACCCCAAACCCCAAACCUGAAACCCCAAACCCCAAACCUCAAACCCCGAAACCUCUAAACCCCAAACCCCAUAUUCCAAACCCCAAACUCCAUAUUCCUUAUUUUCAUAUAUUCCAAACUCCAUCUUUUUUUUUAAAUUUUGUACUCAUGAUUAUGCGGAUCAAUGAGAAGGAUGUCAUCAAUUUCUUGUUCAGGUUCCUCGACUUCAUUUAUCUGUUCUUCUUGCAAUGGUGGUUCUUCUCCAUUGAUGAUUCGUCCUCGAGGUGUAACUUUGAUCACUGCUAACCAAUUUAUACCUGAAUCUCUCAUCCGAGGGUAUGGAAGGAAGCUAACUUGGCCUGCUUGUGAAGCUAAGAUGAAACCCCAAACCCCAAACCUCAAACCCCGAAACCUCUAAACCCGAAACCCCAAACCCCAUAUUCCAAACCCCAAACUCCAUAUUCCUUAUUUUCAUAUAUUCCAAACUCCAUCUUUAUUUUUAAAUUUCGUCGUUAUUUCCUCGUUGGCUUACGAGGUAUUUACGACGAUUUCUGCCUACGUGGAAUUUACGACGAUUUUUUAUACGUGGUCUUUACGACGAUUUCUGCCUACGUGGAAUUUAUGACGAUUUCUUAUACGUGGUCUUUACGACGAUUUGUGCUUACGUGGAUAUAACGAACCUGCGUUCUUUAUUUUAAUAUUUUGUCGUUAUUUCCUCGUUGGCUUACGUGGAAUUAACGAGUGUUAUGUUUAAAUCCCUAGAAUCCGAAACCCCAAACCCCAAACCCCAUAUUCCUUAUUUUCUACUUCAUAUAUUCCAAACCCCAUCUUUAUUUCUAUUCCAAACCACAAUUCCCACAUUUGCUUAUUCAUAAAACAAACUCCCACAUUAUUCAUAAAACAAACCCCACAUUAUCUUAUUCAUAAAACAAACUCCCUCAUCUUAUUCAUAAAACAAAUACAUCAAUCGGAUACAUCGACAUUCUCGUCAUCACUAGAAACAUCAUCAUUUUCAUUAAACUCGUCUUCAACAGCUUCGUCUGUGGCAUCAUCGGUAAGAUCUUCGUACUCGUGAUUAUGCGGAUCAAUGAGAAGGAUGCCAUCAAUUUCUUGUUCAGGUUCCUCGACUUCAUUUAUCUGUUCUUCUUGAAAUGGUGGUUCUUCUCCACUGAUGAUUCGUCCUCGAGGUGUAACUUUGAUCACUGCUAACCAAUUUAAACCUGAAUCUCUCAUCCGAGGGUAUGGAAGGAAGCUAACUUGGUCUGCUUGUGAAGCUAAGAUGAAAGGCUCGAAUUUGUUGUACCUUCGUCCACCGUUGACAUCAACUACACCGAAUUUGUUAGACCGAACACCUCUGUUGACGACAGGGUCGAACCAUUCACAUUUGAAGAGGACGCAUUUCAACUUCAGUAUCCCUGGAAAUUCGACUUCAAUAAUCUCCGUCAAGAUCCCGUAGAAAUCUGUUUCCCCUUUCACACAUAUUCCAUAGUUACUGGUCGCCCACUGUCUACCAUACUCAUAUGUAUGAAAAGUAUAGCCUCGUGUGAAAUACAUCUGUGAUGUGGUGACCUUUACAAGUGAAGAUUGAAUUACUUCGUGUAACCACUUAGGAUAAUCUGCAUCGUCGUCAUCAUAAUCAACCUGCAAAAAUAAAGAGAAUGUUAAUGAAAUACAGAUCAUGUAUGAAAAAAGAGUUUGAGUUAAUACCUGAUUCCGCAACCACUUAAUGAAGUGUUGAUCUUUCCUUUUGUCUACGUCACUUGUGGAUAUACCAGGAAAUGUUUCUUCGACUUGAGAAACAAAUAGGCUGUAAAAUCACAUUUUAUAGGAAUGAAUCUCUCACAAUUAUACAAUUAAUUAUACUUAUAUGUGUUUCGAUGUGUCAACAUAUGUUACCUUUCAAAAUAACGCAUCAAUGGAUCUUCGCAAUUGAGUAGAAUAUAGGUGUGUGCACUAUGAGCGUCUUGUUCACUCGACCACCAAACCUCUUUAGACUUCCCACCGAGUCGCCCAAUCUGGCUAAAGAUGUCUGGAACACCAGCAACUGCAUAUGUUGGCGCAACACCACCAUCAUCAUAUCUUCUUGGAGCUCUUCUCCGGGUACGUACUUUUGACGCAAAGUAGUACAAUGUGAAGUGAGAAACUUCUUCCGUCAAACUUCCAGCAAUUAUAGAACCUUCAACUUUGGCGAGGUUCUUUGCUUUUCCCUUCAAAUAUUUCAUGGCUCGCUCAUACUGAUACAUCCAUCCGUAAUGUACAGGUCCACGAAGCAAUGCCUCAUAUGGGAGGUGGACAGCUAGAUGCUCCAUGACGUCAAAAAAUCCGGGAGGAAAUAUCUUCUCCAAGUUGCACAAUAAGAUGGGAAUGUUCUCCUGAAGCUGUUCCACAACUUCUUCUUUAAGAGUGUGUGUGCUCAGAUCCCUGAAAAAUGCUCAAAUGCCUUUUAUAUUAGAAAAAAAAUUAAACACGUUGUUAGUCAUAUAUUAUUUUGUAAAUUAUUGUGAUAUAAUACACUACGUACCUGCAAGUGUUUCAUGUACGUUUUUUGGAAGUAGCUCCGCAAAUGCAAAGGGCAGUAGUCGUUGAAUAAAGACAUGACAAUCAUGCCUCUUCAUCCCGGAGAACUUUUGACCCUUUUCAACACAUCUGGUGAGGUUCGAAACAUACCCAUCAGGGAACUUCACUUCUGAUGCCACCCAGUUGAACAACACCGACUUUUUUUCUGAAGAUAAUCUGAAUAUCGGAACGGGAACUUGUCCAUUGCUUUUAAUAUGUAACUCGUUUCUUGAGCAAAUAUCCGGCAAGUCCAACCUCGAUUUUAUGUUGUCUUUUGUCUUCCCUGGGACAUUCAAUAUUGUAUUCAUGAUGUUCUCAAAGAAAUUCUUCUCUAUAUGCAUCACAUCGAGGUUGUGGCGCAGAAGAAGAUCCUUCCAAUAUGGCAACUCCCAAAAUAUACUCUUCUUGUGCCAGUUGUGAUGAACACCGUAAGAAUCAGACAUAUUACGAGGGACAUGCCAAUUACCACCCCAACGAACUGUUUCGUUAGCUCCGUAGUAGUCGAUUUGCGCUUCAAUUUGUUCUCCAGUUAGAUAUGGAGGAGGAGUGUCUCUCACAACCCUUUUGUGCCUAAACAAAUUCUUGUUUCUUCGGUAAGGAUGACCAAUGGGAAGAAAUCGACGGUGACAAUCAAACCAACUUUUCUUCCUACCAUUCUUCAGUUGAAACGCAUCUAUCGUUCCAUUACAAUAUGGACAAGCUAAUCUCCCAUGUGUAGUCCAUCCAGACAACAUCCCAUAGGCAGGAAAAUCACUUAUGGUCCACAAAAGCAUCGCUCGCAUCGUAAAAUUCGUCUUCGUUGAACAGUCAUACGUCCUCACCCCUGUUGACCACAAAUCCUUCAACUCUUUUAUUAGUGGUUGUAGGAAAACAUCCAGAGACCUUUUUGGAUGGUUCGGACCAGGUAUUAAAAUGGUCAAGAAUAGCAACUCCCGUUGCAUGCACAUCUCCGGUGGCAGGUUGUAUGGAGUAAGAAAGACUGGCCACAAUGAAUAUUGUCUCCCUGACAUUCCGAACGGACUAAAUCCAUCUGUGCAUAGUCCGAGAUACACAUUCCGGAUAUUGCUAGCGAAAUCCGGAUGUACUUUGUUGAAAUGUUUCCAGGCUCUUGCAUCUGAUGGAUGAGUCAUCUCACCAUCCGUCUGAGUAUGCUCGGCAUGCCAUCUCAUCUUUCCAGCAGUCUGCUCUGAUUGAUACAAUCUUUUCAAUCUGUCUGUAAUUGGUAGGUACCACAUCCUUUGGUACGAUACCCUAUUACGUCCCCGUCCUUGCGGCUUGAAUCGUGGCUUCUUGCAGAAUCGACAUUCUUCUAGCUUCUCAUCAUCUCCCCAAUAGAUCAUGCAGUUGUCGAUGCAAACAUCUAUCAUCUCCGAAGGCAACCCAAGACUAUAAACCAGUUUCUGAAUCUCAUAAUAAGAAUCAGCAGAUACAUUGUCUUCCGGCAAAUACUCUUUAAACAAGUUCGUCCAUUCGUUCAUGCAGCUUUCAGGUAGAUUGUGAUCAGUUUUAAUAUUCAUCAUUCUAGCAGCUAACAACAAUUUAGAGAGACCUUCUCUACAACCACUGUAAAGUGGUUGUUUUGCCGCGUUUAACAUUUCGUAAAAAAAUUUUGCAUCUAUAUUAGGUUCUUUAUCUUCAUCAUGAGCUACGAAUGCAUCAUCUACCAUAUCAUAAACCCUAUCAUAAUCUACCAUCUCCUCCUGAUGGUAACUAUGUUCAUUAUGCAAAUGAUGAUCAACCGGUUCUUUUUCCUGAAAAUUUAUAUUACUACUACUAGCUUCAUUCUGAUCAUAAUUAAAACCUUCUCCAUUUUGAAACCAGAUAUAGUAAUUUGGCGUGAAACCUCUAUUUAUUAAAUGCUUCCAAACAUUUUCACGGUUUGCCAGUUUCGAAUUGUUGCAUUUCCGACAAGGACAGAACAUCUUACCACUUUCUUGGGCGAGCGGUGUUGAAUCUGCUUGAUGCAUAAAUGUCUCCAGACCCGCAAGGUAUUCUUUCGUCACUCUCCCGUUAGCAUCUCUAUGCAUAUACAUCCACUUCCGCAACUCGUAAAUAGUCCCGGAGCCAGCCAUUUUUUUUCUUUCACGUUUUUUGUUGUUGGUGUGUUUAAAAUGAUGUUCAAACAUCCAUAUUUAUAGGAAAAUUCGAAUCUGGUAGUUGUAAUUUUGCUAUGAAUUUACGACGAAAAUUAAUUAGGUGGGCAAAAAAAACGUGUAACACCUAUAAAGUUGGUGGAUUCAAAAAUUUCCUCGCUAAAUACACGUAAACUAUUCCCUCGUAAAUACCACGCAAAGUUUACGUCGUAUUUACGAGGAAAUAGUUUUUCCUCGUAAAAUACUCGUAAAAUUACAUCCACUUUACGACGAAACAGUUUUGUCGUUACGUUACGAGGAAAUAACGAUGACUUUAGUUUUUCACGUAAAUUCGUCGUAAACUCGACGCAAAUUUACGAGGAUUGUUUUUCCUCGUUAAUUUUCGUAGUUAAGCAUGUGUUUUCUUAUAGUGUUUACAUAAUUUCAGAUUGUAGGAAUUUUGGGUCCAGACAGCUGCUGUGAGUCUCUGGCUUGGGGUUUGGUGUUCGACUUUUCAGUUUCAGGUUUCUCUUCCAUAGUGGGUGCAGAGAUUUCUCGUCGAUGUGCUUUGCUAAUGAAUACUUCUAUUAUUGGAAUCGAUCGAUGAGGCUUAUUUGUGUGGAGGUGUAUGGUGGACUUCUAUCUAGGUGUAAAGUGGACGUUAGAGAGUGCGUCCCAACCGUAUCCGAAAGUUGUGUGGAUCUUGAAGCGGUCUUGCUUGUCGGGUUGUGAAGU